rnacentral:lncRNA from 1 species
AAGUAAUUUUUUUAGUAUAUAUCAUCACACAAUCAUAGUACAACCAGCACACACAAGCCAUCAUCCUCCGUACAAGCCAGAAAAGUAAAUAAGAACAAUCACAAGAUUUACAUGGGCAUCAUGCCCUAAUCUUGAUUGAUCUUGACAUUAUAUAGCAUGGGAUGACUUAAUGGUGGUGGGUUACAACACACCACUUAUUUAAUCCAACCGGCAAUAUAAGUAAUGACGAUACUAUGUCUGGCAUGGUUGAUGUACCCGAACAUCUCAUGCCAACAAUUACUCUUGGACGUUUGCUUCACCAUUUCCUUUUUCUGCUUGAGUCCCAAGUGGUGGUUUUGGUUGUGCAUUCGGGUCAGGCAGUGGUUGUGGAUUCGGGUCUGGUAAUGGUUGUGGGUUUGGAUCAGGUUGCGGUCCUGGUAAUGGCUGAGGGUUUGGGUUUGGCUGUGGGUCCGGCAAUGGCUUCGGGUUUGGGUCUGGUAAUGGUUGCGGGUUUGGAUGAGGUUGUGGUCCUGGUAAUGGCUGAGGGUUUGGGUUUGGCUGUGGGUUCGGCAAUGGUAUCGGGUUUGGGUCUGGUAAUGGUUCUGGGUUUGGAUCAGGCUGUGGUCCUGGUAAUGGCUGAGGGUUUGGGUUUGGUUGUGGGUCCGGCAAUGGUUUUGGGUUUGGGUCUGGUAAUGGUUGUGGAUUUCGAUCAGGCUGCGGUCUUGGUAAUGGUUGAGGGUUUGGUUUUGCUCGUGGGUCUGGUAGUGGCCGCGGCUUUGUGUUUGGCUGUGGGUUCAUCAACUGUUGCAGGUUUUGUCCUGGCAAUAGUUGUGGAUUUGGGUCAGGNNNNNNNNNNGUUGUGGGUUUGGAUCAGGUUGCGGCCCUGGUAGUGGCUUAGGGUUUGGGUUUGGCUGUGGGUCCGGCAAUGGUUUUGGGUUUGGGUCUGGUAAUGGUUGUGGAUUUCGAUCAGGCUGCGGUCUUGGUAAUGGUUGAGGGUUUGGUUUUGCUCGUGGGUCUGGUAGUGGCCGCGGCUUUGUGUUUGGCUGUGGGUUCAUCAACUGUUGCAGGUUUUGUCCUGGCAAUAGUUGUGGAUUUGGGUCAGGGUGUGGUCCUGGUAAUGGUUGAGCGUUUGGAUCAGGUUGUGGAUCUAGCAGUGGUUGUGGGUUUGUAUGAGGUUUAGGCUCGGGUAGCGGUUGCGGCUUUGGGUCUGGUUGUGGUCCCGGCAAUGGUUGAGGGUUUGGAUCUGGCUGUUUUCCUGGUAGUGGUUCUGGAUUUGGGUUCGCCCGUGGGCCGUACUGAGGGUCUCUAGUGAUCAGGUUGUGCCUCCCGGCAGCAAGAGCAAACACUGGAAGAAGCAUAAGCAGCAACGGUGCUACGAGAAGAGAAGACGCGGAUGGGCGCUUCCUCAUCGUCAUGGCUAAGCUUGUGUUGGUACGAACUUGCAAGUGCGUGCGUCUCGAUCUUCCUAUUUAUAAGCGAAUUCAGCCAUCAAGGCUGGACAAGCAUGUACGUUGUUUACUCCAACUCUGAUUGGGCUUGUUAGCUUUGCCUUUUUGAAGAUGCGGGACUGCACGCCUCCGCUUAGUGCUCUAACCAGCAGCUAGCCACAAUAAAAAGUCAUUUAGAAAAGUUUUGAGUUAUCAUCAUAAAGAAAAAGUUUGUGUAGUUUUCGUCUGGAUAGAUGUGACAUUUUUCAGUUGAUCGUAGGAGAGCAACAUGCAGAAGCAUACAGUUGCCCAAGUUGUGAACAACCUGAUCACUUUCAGUAAUUCUGUUGAAUUCAUAGCAGGGUAGCAGAUGGCUGUGAGCAUGGAAUUUGUAAAUCAUGUAAUUUUUUUUAAAAUAAGAAAAAUCAUGUAAACACGUAUACAUGUUAUUUGCGUGUCCAAGAAGUUUAAUUAAGCCAUACACAGAUUUGUAGGCUACAUAAAAAAAAUCCAGCCCAAAUGCAAUAGAAAUAAGCCUAUUUUAAAUUAUGUAUUUGUCGUUUUCCCCUUUGUGUAGACUAUAUAUGAUUUUUUUUCAAAUAUAUUUUGUUGAAAUUUUGUAUGAACACACUAUACCUUUUUUAUUGAAAAUUUUGAGGUGCAAGAAUAAAGUUCUUGAUAAAAAAUAAAGAAGCCUGUACGAUGUAUUGUUGUACACAGGAAUAUCGUGGAUUCUAAACUUGAGGUUUGCAUGGAUGGAUUUUUUUUACGGAAUCUAGUUUAAAUGAGUCCUAUUGUUUCCCGUAUGAAUUCCUAUUCUAUGACUCAAACAACACAUACAGAAAAAUUUUCUAAGGAUUAGAUUCCUCCAAAAUUCUAUUAAAAGUUUAAAACCCCUUUGAAUCAAAGAAGCCUAUUCCCCCCAAAAUAAAGAAAAGAAUCAAAUGAGCUCGGGUGAACAGUAAAAUCAAAACUAAAUCAAUUUUUUUUUAAAAAAAUCCAAUUUUUUUUGGGAGAAAAAGUUCUAAGUGCUUGCAAAAAUUCGCCAUGAAAUCACAUUUCUAGAAGGCGUGGCAAAAAAAAAAAACAAAAUCAGUACUCUGAAAAAGCUACUUUCAAAAGCAUUUUGGAGCACUGAAUUUGUUUUUUUUGCCACGCUUUACAGGAAUGUGAUUUCAUGAUGAAUUUUUGCAAGCACUUAAAACUUUUGUUAAUGUUUCUCCCAAAAAAAAUUGGGAAUUUUUUGAAUUUUUUUUGAAUUUUUUUCGAUUUUACUGUUCACCAAGCUCAAAUGAGCUCGGGAGCAGAAAGGCACUUUCGAUCAAAGAAGCCUAUUUCGCAGCAAAGCUAGUGGCUGUCCUAUCGGACAGUGAUGCACCUUUAAGUACGCGGUUUCUAAUAAUCACGAUCAGUGCACGCCGUGCACAGUGCACUCAUUUCGGUUGUAGAUGUAACUUUCACAUUUCAUACACCAAUCACGAUCAGUUGCUUGUUGGCACGGGCGGAGCUCCGUAGGGGCAGACCUGGGCCAUGGCCCGCCCAGGAAUUUGACAAAAAAAGUUUUUACUACUAGUCGUCUUAGCCCAGCCCACUAGCCCACGCACGCACUGAAUAUCCCCCCAUCGGCCAUCGUCUCCUCGUCUCGCGCACGCUGCACGCACAGGCACACUCACGCCUUCCCCAAUUCCCCAUCCUCUCAGUCCCAGACUCAUGUAGGUUGUAGCCACGCCGCCGACGACUACCGACGUGGACAGGGAACACGUCCACACGGUCCACCGGAGCGCGCCGCCCGCCAUCUCUCGGAGCAACCGCCAUGGCAACGCCCGCCGGGAUCUCGCCUCGCCCCUGCCCUGCUCCCUCCUGCCGCCCAUCAUCCGCACACUUACANNNNNNNNNNNNNNNNNNNNNNNNNNNNNNNNNNNNNNNNNNNNNNNNNNNNNNNNNNNNNNNNNNNNNNNNNNNNNNNNNNNNNNNNNNNNNNNNNNNNNNNNNNNNNNNNNNNNNNNNNNNNNNNNNNNNNGCAAUAACCUGAUUUUGUUCAUUUCCAUACACCCAGUGAUCAGUCCUGCUAGUGAUAAAUAAUAGUCUGAUGAUCUGAUCUUACGCAAAUUUUAACAUAGGUAGUCGGGAAAGGAAAAUAAGACUCAGAGAAGAAGAAGAUCACUGCACAAUAAGAUGGAAGAUGAGAAUCUGGCUAAUAACUUGUUAGUUCACAUAGAUGGUGGAAUUCUAGAAAACUACAGCCACGAAGAUGUCAUUGCAGAUUUUAUAAACAAGAAGAUCGGAGAGUUGAUUGUAUGUGAGUAGGUCCAUGUCUAAUGUCUCUGACACUUUUGUAUUAUCUAACUCAAUAGUGAAACAUGGUUGAACUGUACUUUGGUACAUAUAUAUAUUAUAUAUAUACAUAUCUGCUAGCUCAAUCUUGUGACCUGGGUGCUUGUAAUAUGUCCUUAUGGGUAAGAAUUUAGAAAAAAUUGUGUUCUUCUUCAGUCUGGCCCGCCCAACUUUUUCGUUCAAGCUCCGCCACUGCUUGUUGGUGCACAUCCAAUGCUCUAGAAUAAAACAAAAAGUACUCCUAUAUACAAAACGUACUUUACCUAACCUACCGAUUGAAUCGUAUACAUAGAUGAAAAAGAAAAGACAUCCGUAGAGUCCCAAGUUACCUACCGAUUGAAUCGUAUGUAUAGAUGAAAAAGAAAAGACAUCCAUAGAGUACCAAGUUACCUACCGAUUGAAUCAUACAUAUAGACGAAAAAGAAAAGACAUGCAUAGAGUACCAAGUUAAAGACGAUAUGACCUCACAACUAGAUUGGGUUGGGUGAGUGGAGUGCCACUUUAAUCCUUGUCUGGAGCACGCGCUAUGAUAUUUCUUCAGAGGCGCUGAAGUGGGGAACAAGACUGAUAGAACAAACAACAAGUGAGAUAUUUUGAGCUUCACUAGGUUGGAGGCCUGGUGUGCUCAGAAUUUAUCAGGGUGUAUUCAGGUUGCAGCACUGCUGCCAAGGCAUUUCUCCAGCUUCGCUCUGAAGAUCUUUUGCUUUGCUUUGUUCCUCUGUUUGUUUGUAAUGAAGUUCCCGUGUUUUGUGAUGGUUGCAAGUUCCCUGUAGUCUUUAUAUAUUUGGCUCAAGGGUGCCUGAAAAUUUCAUAGUUAUGUUUAAAAAAAUGCCGUAGUUGUUAGUUUUUGGACCAUCUAUCUAAAUCUAUCAAAGACCCUGUUGCCCGAGCUAGCCAAUCAAAGUUGGGCCAUUUGCAUCAAGCUAGGUAGGAUGCGUCGCCGGAAAACCCAAAUCGCUAAUUAAGGAGUACUCUUUGCAAAGGUCACUCCUACCAUGUCGCAACUAGUGAGUUUUCCUUUUUUUGUCGAUUCGUUUAUUCAACACGUUUUAUCGGUUAAAACAUGCAUUCACAUCUUGAAUCGUUUUCUCCAUUGUAUUCCUCGCACUGAGAUCUUGAAAAUUAGAUCCGAUCUGAUAGGUUUUGAUGAACGUUUUACUUUACGAAAAAUACCGAACAAAAAACAAACCGGGAGCACAUUUUUUCCUUUCUGAAAAGGGCACAAUCGUGCCUCUCGUGUCGUUACAAAUCUUAUCUCUGUUCGUCGUUACAAAUCCUAUGAAUUGCUAUUCUAUCUUCACAACAUCCUAUACUCCCCUUGUGUCGUUACAAAUCUUAUCUCUGUUCGUCGUUUUUGCAUUGACAAUUCAGUAACAAUUGAGUUUUACCCCCUUGACUUUGUUGUGAAGGAUCUAGCCACUCGGACUCCUUAUGAGCCGCAGUAGCUACGGCCAGCUUUACUCCUUCUCCGGCGGCACCACCAACCACCAGGCGGUGCUCUCUAUGGACGUUGGAAACUUGUGGCAUCAGCGAUUAGGGCACCCCAGUGCUGCCUCCCUUUCCCGUUUGGCGAGCAGUUUUUAACCAAAUUGUAAUAAGCCAGUCCACCCCAUGGUACUUGUCAUGCAUGUCAAUUAGGCCACCAUGCUCUCCUUCCUUUUUCCAGAUUCUCUGUCAUUUACUACUUUUCCUUUUCAACUAGUGCACUAUGAUAUAUGAACCUCAACAAUUGCGAGUUUUUCCGGCUUCAAAUAUUAUUUGUUUGUCAUAGACGACUUCACUCACUUCCCUUGGAGCUUCCCGCUACACCAUAAGCCCCAUGCCGCUGCCACCCUUGAACGCUUUUACCAGUACGUGCUCAUACAAUUCCGUGUUUACAUACAGUGUGUCCAAUGUGAUAAUGGGGGCGACUUCCUCAACGUUCACCUAUGCACUUUCUGUUGGGGAACGUUGCAGAAAACAAAAAUUUUCCUACGGUUUCACCAAGAUCCAUCUAGGACUUCAUCUAGCAACGAGUAAUCGGAUUGCAUCUACGUACCUUGUAGAUCGCGAGUGGAAGCGUUCAAAGAACGGGGAUGAGGGAGUCGUACUCGACGUGAUCCAAAUCACCGGAGAUCCUAGCGCCGAACGGACGACACCUCCGCGUUCAACACACGUACGGUCAGCGUAACGUCUCCUUCCUCUUGAUCCAGCAAGGGGCAAGGAGAGGUUGAGGAAGAUGGCUCCAGCAGCAGCACGACGGCGUGGUGGUGAUGGAGCUGCAGUACUCCGGCAGGGCUUCGCCAAGCUCUAUGGAGGAGGAGGAUGUGUUGGAGAGGGAGAGGGAGGCACCAAAGGCAAAGGUAAGAGGUCCUCCAUCCUCCCCACUAUAUAUAGGGGGGCCUAGGGGGGGACGCCGGCCCUAGGAGAUGCAAUCUCCUAGGGGGGCGGCGGCCAAGGGGUGGGGGACUUGCCCCCCAAGCAAGGGGGCGUCCCCCCCCUUUAGGGUUUCCCCCACCCUAGGCGCAUGGGCCCUAGGGGAAGUGGCGCCCCAGCCCACUUUGGGCUGGAUCCCUUCCCACUUCAGCCCAUGGGGCCCUCCGGGAUAGGUGGCCCCACCCGGUGGACCCCCGGGACCCUUCCGGUGGUCCCGGUACAAUACCGGUGACCCCGAAACUUGUCCCGAUAGCCGAAAUAGCACUUCCUAUAUAUAAUUAUUUACCUCCGGACCAUUCCGGAACUCCUCGUGAUGUCCGGGAUCUCAUCCGGGACCCCGAACAACAUCCGGGUUACUGCAUAUACAUAUCCCUAUAACCCUAGCGUCACCGAACCUUAAGUGUGUAGACCCUACGGGUUCGGGAGACAUGUAGACAUGACCGAGAUCGCUCUCCGGUCAAUAAACAAUAGCGGGAUCUGGAUACCCAUGUUGGCUCCCACAUGCUCCUCGAUGAUCUCAUCGGAUGAACCACGAUGUCGAGGAUUCAAGCAACCCCGUAUACAAUUCCCUUCGUCAGUCGGUAUGUUACUUGCCCGAGAUUCGGUCGUCGGUAUCCCAAUACCUCGUUCAAUCUCGUUACCGGCAAGUCACUUUACUCUUACCGUAAUGCAUGAUCCCGUGACCAGACACUUGGUCACUUUGAGCUCAUUAUGAUGAUGCAUUACCGAGUGGGCCCAGUGAUACCUCUUCGUCAUACGGAGUGACAAAUUCCAGUCUUGAUCCGUGUCAACCCAACAGACACUUUCGGAGAUACCCGUAGUAUACCUUUAUAGUCACCCAGUUACUUGUGACGUUUGGUACACCCAAAGCACUCCUACGGUAUCCGGGAGUUACACGAUCUCAUGGUCUAAGGAAAAGAUACUUGACAUUGGAAAACUCUAGCAAAUGAACUAUACGAUCUUGUGCUAUGUUUAGGAUUGGGUCUUGUCCAUCACAUCAUUCUCCUAAUGAUAUGAUCUCGUUAUCAAUGACAUUCAAUGUCCAUAGUCAGGAAACCAUGACUAUCUUUGAUCAACGAGCUAGUCAACUAGAGGCUUACUAGGGACAUGUUGGUGUCUAAGUAUUCACACAUGUAUUACAAUUUCCGGAUAACACAAUUAUAGCAUGAAUAAAAGACAAUUAUCAUGAACAAGGAAAUAUAAUAAUAAUGCUUUUAUUAUUGCCUCUAGGGCAUAUUUCCAACAGUCUCCCACUUGCACUAGAGUCAAUAAUCUAGUUACAUUGUGAUGAAUCGAACACCCAUGGAAUUCUGGUGUUGAUCAUGUUUUGCUCUAGGGAGAGGUUUAGUCAACGGAUCUGCUACAUUCAGGUCCAUAUGUACUUUACAAAUAUCUAUGUCUCCAUCUUGAACAUUUUCACGAAUGGAGUUGAAGCGACGCUUGAUGUGCCUCGUCUUCUUGUGAAAUCUGGGCUCCUUGGCAAGUGCAAUAGCUCCAUGUUGUCACAGAAGAGCUUCAUAGGCCCCGAUGCAUUGGGUAUGACUCCUAGGUCGGUGAUGAACUCCUUCACCCAAAUUGCUUCAUGCGCUGCCUCCGAGGCUGCCAUGUACUCCGCUUCACAUGUAGAUCCCGCCACGACGCUCUUCUUGCAACUGCACCAGCUUACUGCCCUACCAUUCAAAAUAUACACGUAUCCGGUUUGUGACUUAGAGUCAUCCAGAUCUGUGUCGAAGCUAGCAUCGACGUAACCAUUUACGACGAGCUCUUCGUCACCUCCAUAGACGAGAAACAUUUCCUUAGUCCUUUUCAGGUACUUCAGGAUAUUCUUGACCGCUGUCCAGUGUUCCUUGCCGGGAUUACUUUGGUACCUACCUACCAAACUUACGGCUAGGUUUACAUCAGGUCUGGUACACAGCAUGGCAUACAUAAUAGAACCUAUGGCUGAGGCAUAGGGGAUGAUACUCAUCUCUUCUAUAUCUUCUGCCGUGGUCGGACAUUGAGCUGAGCUCAAUUUCAUACCUUGCAACACAGGCAAGAACCCCUUCUUAGACUGAUCCAUAUUGAAUUUCUUCAAUAUCUUAUCAAGGUAUGUGCUUUGUGAAAGACCUAUGAGGCGUCUUGAUCUAUCUCUGUAGAUCUUGAUGCCUAAUAUAUAAGCAGCUUCUCCAAGGUCCUUCAUUGAAAAACUCUUAUUCAAGUAGGCCUUAAUGCUGUCCAAAAGUUCUAUAUCAUUUCCCAUCAAAAGUAUGUCAUCUACAUAUAAUAUGAGAAAUGCUACAGAGCUCCCACUCACUUUCUUGUAAACACAGGCUUCUCCAUAAGUCUGCGUAAACCCAAACGCUUUGAUCAUCUCAUCAAAGCGAAUGUUCCAACUCCGAGAUGCUUGCACCAGCCCAUAAAUCGAGCGUUGGAGCUUGCACACCUUGUCAGCAUACUUAGGAUCGACAAAACCUUACGGCUGCAUCAUAUACCAUUCUUCCUUAAGGAAACCAUUAGGAAUGCCGUUUUGACGUCCAUUUGCCAUAUUUCAUAAUCAUAGAAUGCGGCAAUUGCUAACAUGAUUCGGACGGACUUCAGCUUCGCUACCGGUGAGAAAGUCUCAUCGUAGUCAACCCCUUGAACUUGUCGAUAACCCUUAGCGACAAGCCGAGCUUUAUAGAUGGUCACACUACCAUCCGCGUCUGUCUUCUUCUUAAAGAUCCAUUUAUUUUCUAUGGCUUGCCGCUCUACGGCCAAGUCAGUCAAAGUCCAUACUUCGUUUUCAUACAUGGAUCCUAUCUCGGAUUUCAUGGCUUCCAGCCAUUUGUCAGAAUCCGGGCCCGCCAUCGCUUCUUCAUAGUUUGAAGGUUCACCGUUGUCUAACAACAUGAUUUCCAAGACAGGGUUGCCGUACCAAUCUGGUGCGGAACGUGUCCUUGUGGACCUUCGAAUUUCAGUAGGAGCUUGAUCAGAAGUAUCUUGAUCAUCAUCAUUAACUUCCUCUCUAGUCGGUGCAGGCACCUCAGGAACAUUUUCUUGAGUUGCGCCAUUUUCCGGUUCAAGAGGUAAUACUUCAUCAAGUUCUACUUUCCUCCCAUUUACUUCUUUCGAGAGAAACUCCUUCUCUAGAAAGGAUCCAUUCUUGGCAACAAAGAUCUUGCCUUCGGAUCUGAGGUAGAAGGUAUACCCAAUAGUUUCUUUAGGGUAUCCUAUGAAGACGCAUUUUUCCGACUUGGGUUCGAGCUUUUCAGGUUGAAGUUUCUUGACAUAAGCAUCGCAUACCCAAACUUUUAGAAACGAUAGCUUAGCUUUCUUCCCAAACCAUAAUUCAUACGGUGUCGUCUCAACGGAUUUCGACGGAGCCCUAUUUAAAGUGAAUGCGGGAGUCUCUAAAGCAUAGCCCCAAAAAGAUAGCGGUAAAUCGGUAAGAGACAUCAUAGAUCACACCAUAUCUAAUAGAGUGCGAUUACGACGUUCGGACACACCAUUACGCUGAGGUGUUCCAAGCGGCGUGAGUUGUGAAACUAUUCCAUAUUUUCUUAAGUGUGUGCCAAACUCGUGACUCAAGUAUUCUCCUUCACGAUCUGAUCGCAGGAACUUGAUUUUCCUGUCACGUUGAUUCUCAACCUCACUCUGAAAUUCCUUGAACUUUUCAAAGGUCUCAGACUUGUGUUUCAUUAAGUAGACAUACCCAUAUAUACUCAAGUCAUCAGUGAGGGUGAGAACAUAACGCCACCGUGAGCCUCAACAGUCAUUGGACCGCACACAUCAGUAUGUAUGAUUUCCAAUAAGUUGGUUUCUCGCUCCAUUGUUCCUGAGAACGGAGUCUUGGUCAUUUUACCCAUGAGGCAUGAUUCGCACAUGUCAAAUGAUUCGUAAUCAAGAGACUCUAAAAGUCCAUCAGCAUGGAGCUUCUUCAUGCGUUUGACACCUAUGUGACCAAGGCGGCAGUGCCACAAGUAUGUGGGACUAUCAUUAUCAAUCUUACAUCUUUUGGUACUCACACUAUGAACAUGUGUAGCAUUACGCUCGAGAUUCAUUAAGAAUAAACCAUUCACCAUCGGAGCAUGACCAUAAAACAUAUCUCUCAUAUAAAUAGAACAACCAUUAUUCUCGGAUUUAAAUGAGUAGCCAUCUCGAAUUAAACGAGAUCCUGAUACAAUGUUCAUGCUCAAAGCUAGCACUAAAUAACAAUUAUUAAGGUUUAAAACUAAUCCCGAAGGUAAAUGUAGAGGUAGCGUGCCGACGGCGAUCACAUUGACCUUGGAACCAUUCCCGACGCGCAUCGUCACCUCGUCCUUCGCCAGUCUCCGCUUAUUCCGCAGCUCCUGUUUUGAGUUACAAAUGUGAGCAACCGCACCGGUAUCAAAUACCCAGGAGCUACUACGAGUACUGGUAAGGUACACAUCAAUUACAUGUAUAUCACAUAUACCUUUCGUGAUGCCGGCCUUCUUGUCCGCUAAGUAUUUGGGGCAGUUUCGCUUCCAGUGACCACUUCCCUUGCAAUAAAAGCACUUAGUCUCGGGCUUGGGUCCAUUCUUUGGCUUCUUCCCGGCAGCUUGCUUGCCGGGCGCGGCAACUCCCUUGUCGUCCUUCUUGAAGGCUUUCUUACCCUUGCCCUUCUUGAACUUAGUGGUUUUAUUCACCAUCAACACUUGAUGUUCCUUUUUGACUUCUACCUCAGCUGAUUUCAGCAUUGCAAAUACGUCAGGAAUGGUCUUUUCCAUCCCCUGCAUAUUGAAGUUUAUCACAAAGCUCUUGUAGCUCGGUGGAAGCGACUGAAGGAUUCUGUCAAUGACCGUGUCAUCCGGGAGAUUAACUCCCAGCUGAGUCAAGCGGUUAUGCAACCCAGACAUAAUGAGUAUGUGCUCACUGACAGAACUGUUUUCCUCCAUCUUACAGCUGAAGAACUUGUCGGAGACUUGAUAUCUCUCGACCCGGGCAUGAGCUUGGAAAACCAUUUUCAGCUCUUCGAACAUCUCAUAUGCUCCGUGUCUCUCAAAACGCUUUUGGAGCCCCGGCUCUAAGCUGUAAAGCAUGCCGGACUGAACGAGGGAGUAGUCAUCGGUACGUGCCUGCCAAGCGUUCAUAACGUCUUGUUCUGCAGGGAGAACAGGUGUGUCACCUGGCGGUGCUUGUAGGACAUAAUCUUUCUUGGCAGCUAUGAGGAUGAUCCUCAGGUUUCGGACCCAGUCCGUGUAGUUGCUGCCAUCGUCUUUCAGCUUGGUUUUCUCUAGGAACGCGUUGAAGUUGAGGACUACGUUGGCCAUUUGAUCUACAAGACAUAUUGUAAAUUUUUUAGACUAAGUUCAUGAUAAUUAAGUUCAUCUAAUCAAAUUAUUCAAUGAACUCCCACUUAGAUAGACAUCCCUCCAGUAAUCUAAGUAUAACAUGAUCCGAGUUAACUAGGACGUGUCCGAUCAUCACGUAAGACGGACUAGUCAACAUCGGUGAACAUCUUCAUGUUGAUCGUAUCUUCUAUAUGACUCAUGCUCGACCUUUCGGUCUUCUGUGUUCCGAGGCCAUGUCUGUACAUGCUAGGCUCGUCAAGUCAACCUAAGUGUUUGCAUGUGUAAAUCUGUCUUACACCCGUUGUAUGUGAACGUUGGAAUGAAUCUAACACCCGAUCAUCACGUGGUGCUUCGAAACAACGAACUGUCGCAAUGGUGCACAGUUAGGAGAAACACUUUCUUGAAAUUAUUAUGAGGGAUCAUCUUAUUUACUAUCGUUGUUCUAAGUAAACAAGAUGCAGAAACAUGAUAAACAUCACAUGCAAUCAAAUAGUGACAUGAUAUGGCCAAUAUCACAUAGCUCCUUUGAUCUCCAUCUUGGGGCUCCAUGAUCAUCUUGUCACCAGCAUGACACCAUGAUCUCCAUCAUCAUGAUCUCCAUCACAGUGUCUCCAUGAAGUUGCUCGCCAACUAUUACUUCUACUACUAUGGCUAACACGUUUAGCAAUAAAGUAAAGUAAUUUACAUGGCGUUUCUCAAUGAAACGCAGGUCAUACAAAAAAUAAAGACAACUCCUAUGGCUCCUGCCGGUUGUCAUACUCAUCGACAUGCAAGUCGUGAUUCCUAUUACAAUAGCAUGAGCAUCUCAUACAUCACAUGUAUAUCAUUCAUCAUUCAUCACAACUUUGGCCAUAUCACAUCACAGAACACUUGCUGCAAAAACAAGUUAGACGUCCUCUAAUUGUUGUUGCAAGUUUUACGUGGCUGCAAUAGGGUUCUAGCAAGAACGUUUUCUUACCUACGUGAAAGCCACAACAUGAUUUGUCAACUUCUAUUUACCCUUCAUAAGGACCCUUUUCAUCGAAUCCGCUCCAACUAAAGUGGGAGAGACAGACACCCGCCAGCCACCUUAUGCAACUUGUGCAUGUUAGUCGGUGGAACCGGUCUCACGUAAGCGUACGUGUAAGGUUGGUCCGGGCCGCUUCAUCCCACAAUACCGUUGAAGCAAGAUAAGACUAGUAGCGGCAAGAAAGUUGACAACAUCUACGCCCACAACAAAUUGUGUUCUACUCGUGCAAAGAGAACUACGCAUAGACCUAGCUCAUGAUGCCACUGUUGGGGAACGUUGCAGAAAACAAAAUUUUUCCUACGGUUUCACCAAGAUCCAUCUAGGAGUUCAUCUAGCAACGAGUGAUCGGAUUGCAUCUACGUACAUUGUAGAUCGCGAGCGGAAGCGUUCAAAGAACGGGGAUGAGGGAGUCGUACUCGACGUGAUCCAAAUCACCGGAGAUCCUAGCGCCGAACGGACGGCACCUCCGCGUUCAACAGACGUACGGUCAGCGUAACGUCUCCUUCCUCUUGAUCCAGCAAGGGGCAAGGAGAGGUUGAGGAAGAUGGCUCCAGCAGCAGCACGAUGGCGUGGUGGUGAUGGAGCUGCAGUACUCCGGCAGGGCUUCGCCAAGCUCUAUGGAGGAGGAUGUGUUGGAGAGGGAGAGGGAGGCACCAAAGGCAAAGGUAAGAGGUCCUCCAUCCUCCCCACUAUAUAUAGGGGGGCCUGGGGGGGGGGGCGCCGGCCCUAGGAGAUGCAAUCUCCUAGGGGGGCGGCGGCCAAGGGGUGGGGGACUUGCCCCCAAGCAAGGGGGCGCCCCCCCCUUUAGGGUUUCCCCCACCCUAGGCGCAUGGGCCCUAAGGGAAGUGGCGCCCCAGCCCACUUUGGGCUGGAUCCCUUCCCACUUCAGCCCAUGGGGCNNNNNNNNNNNNNNNNNNNNNNNNNNNNNNNNNNNNNNNNNNNNNNNNNNNNNNNNNNNNNNNNNNNNNNNNNNNNNNNNNNNNNNNNNNNNNNNNNNNNNNNNNNNNNNNNNNNNNNNNNNNNNNNNNNNNNNNNNNNNNNNNNNNNNNNNNNNNNNNNNNNNNNNNNNNNNNNNNNNNNNNNNNNNNNNNNNNNNNNNNNNNNNNNNNNNNNNNNNNNNNNNNNNNNNNNNNNNNNNNNNNNNNNNNNNNNNNNNNNNNNNNNNNNNNNNNNNNNNNNNNNNNNNNNNNNNNNNNNNNNNNNNNNNNNNNNNNNNNNNNNNNNNNNNNNNNNNNNNNNNNNNNNNNNNNNNNNNNNNNNNNNNNNNNNNNNNNNNNNNNNNNNNNNNNNNNNNNNNNNNNNNNNNNNNNNNNNNNNNNNNNNNNNNNNNNNNNNNNNNNNNNNNNNNNNNGGAAGAUGGCUCCAGCAGCAGCACGAUGGCGUGGUGGUGAUGGAGCUGCAGUACUCCGGCAGGGCUUCGCCAAGCUCUAUGGAGGAGGAUGUGUUGGAGAGGGAGAGGGAGGCACCAAAGGCAAAGGUAAGAGGUCCUCCAUCCUCCCCACUAUAUAUAGGGGGGCCUAGGGGGGGGGGCGCCGGCCCUAGGAGAUGCAAUCUCCUAGGGGGGCGGCGGCCAAGGGGUGGGGGACUUGCCCCCAAGCAAGGGGGCGCCCCCCCCUUUAGGGUUUCCCCCACCCUAGGCGCAUGGGCCCUAAGGGAAGUGGCGCCCCAGCCCACUUUGGGCUGGAUCCCUUCCCACUUCAGCCCAUGGGGCCCUCCGGGAUAGGUGGCCCCACCCGGUGGACCCCCGGGACCCUUCCGGUGGUCCCGGUACAAUACCGGUGACCCCGAAACUUGUCCCGAUAGCCGAAAUAGCACUUCCUAUAUAUAAUUCUUUACCUCCGGACCAUUCUGGAACUCCUCGUGAUGUCCGGGAUCUCAUCCGGGACCCCGAACAACAUUCGGGUUACUGCAUAUACAUAUCCCUAUAACCCUAGCGUCACCGAACCUUAAGUGUGUAGACCCUACAGGUUCGGGAGACAUGUAGACAUGACCGAGAUCGCUCUCCGGUCAAUAACCAACAGCGGGAUCUGGAUACCCAUGUUGGCUCCCACAUGCUCCUCGAUGAUCUCAUCGGAUGAACCACGAUGUCGAGGAUUCAAGCAACCCCGUAUACAAUUCCCUUCGUCAGUCGGUAUGUUACUUGCCCGAGAUUCGAUCGUCGGUAUCCCAAUACCUCGUUCAAUCUCGUUACCGGCAAAUCACUUUACUCUUACCGUAAUGCAUGAUCCCGUGACCAGACACUUGGUCACUUUGAGCUCAUUAUGAUGAUGCAUUACCGAGUGGGCCCAGUGAUACCUCUCCGUAAUACGGAGUGACAAAUCCCAGUCUUGAUCCGUGUCAACCCAACAGACACUUUCAGAGAUACCCGUAGUAUACCUUUAUAGUCACCCAGUUACGUUGUGACGUUUGGUACACCCAAAGCACUCCUACGGUAUCCGGGAGUUACACGAUCUCAUGGUCUAAAGGAAAAGAUACUUGACAUUGGAAAACUCUAGCAAACGAACUAUACGAUCUUGUGCUAUGUUUAGGAUUGGGUCUUGUCCAUCACAUCAUUCUCCUAAUGAUGUGAUCUCGUUAUCAAUGACAUCCAAUGUCCAUAGUCAGGAAACCAUGACUAUCUGUUGAUCAACGAGCUAGUCAACUAGAGGCUUACCGGGGACAUGUUGGUGUCUAAGUAUUCACACAUGUAUUAUGAUUUCCGGAUAACACAAUUAUAGCAUGAAUAAAAGACAAUUAUCAUGAACAAGGAAAUAUAAUAAUAAUGCUUUUAUUAUUGCCUCUAGGGCAUAUUUCCAACACUUUCCUCUACGAGGCAUCACCCUUUGUCACUCUUGCCCGCACACCUCCCCUCAAAACGAGAAGGCCGAGCACGGCAUUCGCUCCAUGAACGACAUUAUGCGCACACUCCUCCAAGCUCACAUGCCACCUUCGUUUUGGGUCGACGCCCUCAACACCACCACAUACUUACUGAAUUUCGCCCAUCCCGAGCCAUCGACCACAUCCCACCCUACUACGCCCUCUUUGGUACCUCUCCAGAUUACAGCUCCCUACGCACGUUCGUCUGCCUCUGCUACCAAAACCUCUAUGCCACUAUGCCCUACAAAUUAGCUCCCCGCUCCGUUCGCUGCAUUCUCCUCGGUAUGCCACUUGAGCAUAAAGGCUACAGGUGCCUGGACCUCUCCAAUCGAUGACUCAUUACCUCUAGACAUGUCAUUUUUUGACGAAAACACCUUCCCAUUCAUUGAUGCCCCGAGCGGCCACACGCCUGCACGAGCAGGGUCUGCUCCGGCCGCAGAAAAUCAAGCACCCACCUCCAUCCCCCUCGGAUCACCCACUCCACCAGUCACGCACCACCUCCCAUCCCCAAGCAUGCAGCCCGACCCCACCUCCCAAACCCAUGCAGUGAUUCACCCAUCACCUGCAUGCGGCGCGCCUCCCCUCGUGUCGACUCCACGCCUAGAUGCAGUAGCCCGCCACUUACGCCUCUGCAUGCAGCGCCCCUCACUCUAUGCCGCCCACGCAUGUAGUACGAUCCCACCCUGAGUCGUGCCGAUUUUACCUGCCAAAAACUUGCAUGCCAGGCGCACCUGCGCAAAGUCCAGUUUUCUGCAGCCAAAGAAGCUUCUGACCGUCGCUACCUCUCCCGCCCCCAUCUCUCCUAUUCCCGCAAACUACAAAGAAGCUCUCAAAGACCCCAACUGGUACAAUGUUAUGCUUGAAGAAUUUAACGCUUUGUUGCAAAGCAAAACGUGGUCUUUGGUUGCUUGCUCUGCAGGUGUCAACUUGGUGUCUGGGAAGUGGAUAUUCCGCCACAAGCUUCAUCUCGACGGCUCCCUCGCUCGGUACAAGGCGUGUUGGGUACUUCGUGGCUUCACAAAGCAGCCUGGCAUUGACUACGGGGAGACCUUCAGCCCCGUGUGGUGAAACCGGCCACCAUCCGCGUCAUCCUCAGUGUCGCCAUCAGUAACCGUUGGGCCAUUAACCAGCUGGACAUGAAGAACCCCUUCCUCCACGGCACUCUCGAUGAGCUCGUCUACAGUCAGCCGCCGGCUAGCUUCGUCGACACCGCACACCCCUCGACCAUGUGCAAACUCCAAAAGUCCUUGUAUGACUUAAGCAGGCUCCUCGUGCGUGGUUCCAGCGGUUCACCACAUUCCUUCUCUCGCUCGGCUUCACGGUGUCAAGAUCCGACACAUCCCUAUUUAUUCUCCGCCGUGGCACCUCAGUGGCAUACCUCUUGCUAUAUGUUGACGAUAUCAUUCUCACCGCUAGCUCCUCCGGGUUACUCACCAUCGUUACCGCCGCUCUCACCUCUGAGUUCUCCAUGGCGAACCUCAGCUCGCUCCACCACUUCCUUGGCGUCAAUGUUCAGUGCAGCCCCACUGGUUUGUUUCUUUCCGAGCAACAGUAUGCGCUCGAGAUCCUUGAUCGCGCCUCCAUGCUCAACUGCAAACCCAUCACUACCCCCGUCGACACCAAAGCAAAGCUCGCCACCUCGCCACCUCAGCUAACGACUCUGCUCCUGACCCAUCCCUCUUCCAUAGUCUCGCCGGUGCCCUGCAGUACCUCACGCUCAUGCGCCCGGACAUAGCCUACACCGUCCAGCAGGUGUGCCUCGUCAUGCACUCGCCGCGCAUGCUACACGCCGCCCUCCUCAAAUGUAUCAUGCGUUAUCUGCGUGGUACCACCCACCUUGGCCUUCAUAUUCGUCUGUCUGCUUCAUCCCAGCUCAUGUCUUACACAGACGCCGACUGGGCCGGUUGUCCCGACACCGUACCUGACGCUCGAUGUCUGGCUACUACAUGUACAUCGGUGACAACCUCGUCUCCUGGUCUUCGAAGCGACAAACCACCUUGUCGCGAUCGAGUGCGGAGGCAGAGUACCGAGCUGUCGCCAACGCGGUCACGGAGUCGUGUUGGCUACGAAGCUUCUUCAGGAUAUCGGAUGGCCUCCAUGGUGCUACCACUGUUUACUGAGACAACGUAUCGGUGACUGAAGGAAAUAUGCCCUAGAGGCAAUAAUAAAGUUAUUAUUUAUUUCCUUAUAUCAUGAUAAAUGUUUAUUAUUCAUUCUAGAAUUGUAUUAACGGAAACAUAAUACAUGUGUGAAUACAUAGACAAACAGAGUGUCACUAGUAUGCCUCUACUUGACUAGCUCGUUGAUCAAAGAUGGUUAUGUUUCCUAACCAUAGACAUGAGUUGUCAUUUGAUUAACGGGAUCACAUCAUUAGGAGAAUGAUGUGAUUGACUUGACCCAUUCCGUUAGCAUAGCACUUGAUCGUUUAGUUUGUUGUUAUUGCUUUCUUCAUGACUUAUACAUGUUCCUAUGAUUAUGAGAUUAUGCAACUCCCGUUUACCAGAGGAACACUUUGUGUGCUACCAAACGUCACAACGUAACUGGGUGAUUAUAAAGGUGCUCUACAGGUGUCUCCGAAGGUACUUGUUGGGUUGGCGUAUUUCGAGAUUAGGAUUUGUCACUCCGAUUGUCGGAGAGGUAUCUCUAGGCCCUAUCGGUAAUGCACAUCACUUAAGCCUUGCAAGCAUUGCAACUAAUGAGUUAGUUGCGGGAUGAUGUUUUACGGAACGAGUAAAGAGACUUGCCGGUAACGAGAUUGAACUAGGUAUUGAGAUACCGACGAUCGAAUCUCGGACAAGUAACAUACCGAUGACAAAGGAAAUAACGUAUGUUGUUAUGCGGUCUGACCGAUAAAGAUCUUCGUAGAAUAUGUGGGAGCCAAUAUGAGCAUCCAGGUUCCGCUAUUGGUUAUUGACCGGAGACAUGUCUCGGUCAUGUCUACAUAGUUCUCGAACCUGUAGGGUCCGCACGCUUAAAGUUUCGGUGACGAUUGUAUUAUGAGUUUAUGUGAUUUGAUGUACCGAAGGUAGUUUGGAGUCCCGGAUGAGAUCGGGGACAUGACGAGGAGUCUCAAAAUGGUCGAGACGUAAAGAUCGAUAUAUUGGACGACUAUAUUCGGACAUCGGAAAGGUUCCGAGUGAUUCGGGUAUUUUCGGGAGUACCGGGAGUUACGGGAAUACGAGGAAGAAGUAAUGGGCCUCAUGGACCAAGUGGUGGAAGAGAGGAGGCAGGGCGCGCGGCCCUCCUAGCCCAAACCGAAUUGGACUAGGGGGCCGGCCCCCCUUUCCUCCUUUUCCUCCUUCUCCUUCCUUCUCCUUCUCCUCCUUCCUUUCCUCCUCCUAGUAGGAGUAGGAAAGGGGAGUCCUACUCCUACUAGGAGGAGGACUCCUCCUCCUGGCGCGCCCAUAGAGGGCCGGUCGGCCUCCCCCCUUGCUCCUUUAUAUACAGGGGCAGGGGGGCACCUCUAGACACACAAGUUGAUCUUCGUGAUCGUUCCUUAGCCGUGUGUGGUGCCCCCUUCCACCAUAUUCCACCUCGGUCAUAUCGUAGCGGUGCUUAGGCGAAGCCCUGCGUCAGUAGAACAUCAUCACCGUCAUCACGCCGUCGUGCUGACGAAACUCUCCCUCAACACUCGGCUGGAUCGGAGCUCGAGGGACGUCACCGAGUUGAACGUGUGAGAACUCGGAGGUGCCGUACGUUCGGUACUUGGAUCGGUCGGAUCGGGAAGACGUACGACUACUUCCUCUACGUUGUGUCAACACUUCCGUUGCUGGUCUACGAGGGUACGUAGACGACACUCUCCCCUCUUAUUGCUAUGCAUCACCAUGUUCUUGCGUGUGCGUAGGAAAUUUUUUGAAAUUACUACGUUAUCCAACAAUGACGUACCUCUCCACCAACCCGGUACAACACCAACGCACCAAGCACGUGGAGAUUGAUCUUCAUUUCGUGCGCGACCGCGUUGUCUUCGGAGAUGUUCGUGUUCUGCAUGUUCCGGCAACCUCCCAGUUUGCCGACGUUUUCACCAAGGGGAUACCAACCGGCGUCUUGACAGAGUUCCGGUCCAGCCUCAAUGUCGUCGAAGACCCCGUUGCGGCUGUGGGGGGCUGCUGGAAUUGUAAAACGCCUCCUGCAUGUACAUUACCGGGUCCCUCGGCUGGACAGAUCGGCUCGCGCAAGUAGCAUGGGACACCUGCGUCUGUUACACACGAUCCCCUUCUCCGUUGCUUGUAGCUGCUGUACCUAGGCGUAUAUAUAUAACUCUGUACAAUCUGGAAUAGACACGGUGAAGAUCACCUUUCAACUGUUCGCACUGUGCGGCCAAACCUUGUUUGGCUGGGACUGACAAAUGAAAAUGAUGCACCCGAGCACAUCCAGAAGGAUCUGAACGCUCGCAGUCCAAACCAGCUUAUCGGCAUUGGUACAGAGUUGAGGCAAAACCGAGCAGUGAAGCAAGCUCCAGCAUUUUCAACAUGAAGGAAACGAAAAAGACGAAACAGGCUCCAACAUUCUCGUCAAAAAAGAUAAGAAAAGGAAAAAAGAAACAGGCUCCAGCAUUCUUGACACAAAAGAAAUGAAGAAGGAAAACGAAACAGGCUCAGGCAUUCUUGACACAAAAGAAAAGAAAAAGGAAAAGGAGAAAGGCUCCAAUAUUCUUGACAAAAUAGAGAAGCAAAAGAAAAAGGAAUCAGGCACAAGCAUCCUCGACACAGAAGAAAAGAAAAGGGAAAAGGAAAUUGGAUCCAGCAUUCUCGAUAAAAAGGAAGAGAAACAGGAAACAGGUUCAACCAUUCUCGACAAAAAGGAAAAGAAAAAGAAAACAGGCUCCGACAUUUUGGACAAAAGAGAAAAGAACAAGGAAACGAAAACAGGCUCCAGCAUUGAUCUCGACAAGAAAGAAAAGAAAAAAAUUUGAAAAGCAAGCUCCGUCAGAACGGUAACAGUAGCACCAAUGCUAAAGAAGAGCAAAUUGAACAGUAGCACCAAGGUGAAGGAAGCUCAAGACCGAUGAGAUGUCCUGGUUUCUAUAUAUCCAAUUAAUAUACCAUAUUUUAAUUAUUGUAACAAUAUGAUUGUAUUUUUUGUGAUGUAAUGAGUCGUUUGAUUCGAACCUCUGUUUGUUCAGUUUCUGCUUGCUGCUGUUGUAAUCACAAACCGUCAUGUCAAAUAAAUGGAGUGAAUAGCAAAAAACUACCAUAUUACGGGCUAUCGUUCCGGAAAACUAUCGCUUGUUUUAAUUUUUCAAAAAACUACCACAAAAGUGGCUGGCUGUUCCAAAAAACCCAAGUGGCCGAACGGUUAAGUUUUAACUGGGGUUAUGACAUGUGGGGCCCGCCCGUCAGGGUUUUGUCGGCCACAGUGCUCACGGCGCGCGGGUGACGGCCGUUAGGGCGCACGGCCCGUCCCGACGAGGUCAAAAUGGAUCCGGCCCUCACUCUGUCUCCCUCUCGCUCACUCACUCUCUCCCCCCUCACUCUCACUCUCCCCCCUCGCUCUGUUUCCCCUGGCCGAGCUCUCCAUCGUCGCUGACCACCUCAGUUCCUCGUCGCCGGCCAGGAUGCCUUCUUGGAAUGAUGGGGAUGAGAGCUCCGACGAUAGCAUGGGGGGCAACCUGAUGGACAUGGAGUACUUUGUAAGCCUCAUCGUCCUCCUCUCUGUCAUUAUCUAGGGUUAGGGUUGAAUCGAUUUGGGAAUGAGGGUUGAUGAGCUGUAUAUUUGUAUGCAUGGAUUCAUUUGGUUUGGUUAUCUAUUAGUUUUGAUCUAGGGUAUGGAUGGCACUGUGAUGUCUGAUCUGACCUUGAGCAAGGCAAAGCUUGACUCAAGUUGAACUAGUUGAUGCAUUGGUUCUGAUCUACCUUUUACUGCAUGUAGGACACACCUGACACCAUCCCUGAGCCACUCUGGUGUGGUGCUCCCAUGGAGGAAGUUGCCAAGUGUACUCUGCAUGAUAUGAAGCCUAGGAAGUGUGUUGCUUUUGAAGGUGCUAAGACUGGGAGGAGGUUCUAUGGAUGCCCUGUUCAGGUGAGUAAUUGAGUAUCCUGGGUGGAUUCAGUUAUGCCUAGUGGAUUCAGUUAUUCCUAGUGGUUACUGAAUUUGUACAUUAACUCUAUUUGAACUGAAUUUAGUACUGAAUUUAUGGUUACAUGUCCUCCUUGUGUACCAACCCUCUUUUUGAAUUGAAGUUAGAACUGAAUUUCUGCAUUUUCUGAAGUAUGUGUUCUCUGAUCAAACUACAGGGAGGUGUGAAUUGUGGUGUAGUUCAGUGGGUUGAUCCUGCCUGGCCUGAUGUACUUAAGAACUGCCUCAUCAAGUUGUGGGAAAUGUUCCAUGAGCAAAACCUUGGAAGGUUUCAAGACAAGCAUGCAUAUGAGGAUGAGGUUGCCAAGUUGAAGAAGGACUAUGAUCUGCUCUGCACUGAGUAUCAUAAAAUGGUUGAUGAUGUUAGCAAGAUGUUUGACUGGCAUGAUGGUGUUGGCAAGAUUGACUACCAAAAAGCAAUGGAUGCUGGGAAAUUUGAGAAGCAGAAGGAAGAGCUAGAGCUGGAGAUGAAGAUGGAGAAGCUAAGGCUAGCAAAAGAACAGAGGUGUAUCCUUCAGGCCCAGGCAGACAUAAUUCACAACACCAGGAAGGCAAUGAAAGAGAUAAAGGUGGACAGGGAUCUUUUUGCACAAGAGAAGACAAAGCUUGAGAAAGUAGUUGCUGAUCUGCUAAAUGCUGGCCAUGGGAGCAAGGAAAAGCUUGAGAAAAUCAAGGCCAUACUGGAGGCUUGAAGAUUUGGACAAUGGUGGUUAAGUAAGUAAGGUGGCCUACACAUAUAACAGGCCUUGCAAGAUGAUGGUAGGAGUAUAUUUUGUGCAGUCCUAUAUGAACUAUUUAAGUUAUGGUAACUAGAGUGGUGGAGAACCUUUGCUAAGUCUGGCUUAUGUUAUUGUACUGUUAAGAACCUAUCUAUCUUAAGUAAUGCAGUGAAGAACUGUUUUAUUUCUUUAGGUUGUUUUCCUGAAAGUAGCAAUGCUGAACUAGUAUAUUUUUGGGCCUAAAACCAUUAUGUACACAUUGUGGGCCUAGACUGGGCUGUUUUAUUACUCCACCUACCUACCACCAACCAUUAGUAGUCUAUAAAGCCCACCCCUUGAGUGAAACCGCAGUCAAUCCCCCCAUCCCCACCCUUCUCAACCCCCCAGCCGCCAAAGAAACCCUAGAAUCCAAGGGAGAGAUGGAUCCUGGAGAGGUCAUAGAUGGAGAAGAAGAGGUGCCCAGACAAGCCAGGCGCAGAGAUGCAAGGAGGAGGGCGAGAAGGCAACUUGCUGAGAUGAUCCUUGCAACACGCAACCGCAAGGACAUAAAGCAGUUCCUGGAGGCAUUCCCCCCUGGUUCCAACCCUAGUGAUGAUGAUAUCAUCUACUGGGCAAGGAGGAGGGCAAAUUUCCAUCCCUUUUAGGUCACUAGGCAAAGGUGGACUAGGAUUUUGUACCCAUGAUGCUGCUGUUAUGUUUCUUUGUUCCUAGAUCUGUCUUUCUAUCUAUGUGAUGUUUGAAGUUGGUGUAAGAACAAUGUUGAAUGAGCUAUGUAUGUGACGAAUCAAGUUGUCCAUGAUGCAAUGCAAUGUAUGAAGCUGGUGAAAGAAAAAUGUUGAAUGAUCUAUCUAUGUGAUGAAUCAAUCUGUCUAUGAUGCAAUUUAUGAGUGAAUCUUUUAUCUAUAUUUGUAUGUAUGAAUGAAUUGAUCUGGUGAUCUUGAUGUUUUAAGUUAGAUAUGUUAUGGUUUGUUCAGAUGGCCAUAUCUUGUUGUUUUAGGUUUGAUCUCUUAGGGUUUGGUGCCUAGAUGGGAAAAUCUUGAUGUUUUAGCUUUGAUAUGUUAGGUUUUGGUCCUAGAUAGCCACUUUGGGGUUGGUCAACAAGUAGCCACCCAAAGUGGCCAAAUUUGGGUGGCUUUAGGGUUGGUCGACAAGUUCCACCCCAAAGUGGCCAAAUGUGGCCACUUUGGGGUUGGUCGACAAGUAGCCCCCCAAAGUGACCAAAUUGACCUAAUCAUAUCAAUCAAUUAUCAACAAAAUAAAUCACUUGAUCUACAUAACAAUGCUCAGCAUAAGAAAUAAUUUCAUAUGAAACAAUUCAUAACCUAGGACAUAUCAAAUCAAAAUAAAGCUUGACAACAGAUAACUUAAUUGUUCCAAGCAGUUCAAACACAGACCAUAUAACUUAAUUGUUCCAAGCAGUUCAUACAUAGACCACAUAACUUAAUUGUUCAAAUGAAAAAAAAGUUCACUGCAAAUAACACAGAUAGCAAGCAUGCCUAGCAAGUAGAGUUCAAGGCAUAAAGCAUAGUUGAGUGCAACACAUUCAAUGGUUGCCACUGGCUGUGAAAUACAAAGCAAGUUUGCUUGGGGCCUUCCUCUUCCUCUUAGAACCAACAUCAGCUUGACCUGAUGUUGAUGCUGCCCUUGGAGCAUUGAAACCUCUUGCACUUGACCUGGUGUUCUUUACUGGAGAUGAUGCACUUGACCUGGUGUUGUUGGCUGGUGCUGAAGCAGGUGGUGGGUUCUUUCUCUUUCUUGAUCCACCUGUUGAAACUGCAGUAGAUGUGGUUGCCCUUGUUGUAGCAGAUGUGGUUGACCUUGUUGAAGUUGUUGCUAGUUUCCUGCCCCUAAGUGGUCCUAAAGCUGGAGCUGGACCUGAAGCUGGAGCUGGACUUGAAGCUGGAGCUGGACCUGAUGAUGUGGCCUGGUGGUUGUUUUUCCUUGUCAUAAACUUGGCCUUAAGUCCGUCUCCAUAGAUUGUCCACCUGUGGCCUUGCAGACCACAGUUACUGCAUGUUAUUGUGCCCAUCCUUGAUGUAUCCUUUGGAGCUGGCACCUCAAAUUCACCCUUUCUCCUAGCUGUCUGCUUCUUGCCUUUCUUCUCCCUGAAAACUGGUGGUUCUAUGUCUGGUGUGUUGGUGUUGGGCCAGAAUUCAGGGCCAGGGACAGGGUAGAUGAUGUGCUGGUAUGCAGCCUUAUACAUUGGCUUCUUAAAGAAUGGAUGCACAUAAUCUUCUGGGUGAACUUUUAUCUUCUGCAUUGCAGAUAUUGCAUGGUGGCAAGGUGAUCCAGUCAUGUCCCACCUCCUGCAAGAGCAGCUCCCUACAUCAAGCUUCACACAAUAUGUGUUCUCUCCACUAGUUACUUGCCAGAUGUUGGGACCAGCCAUGUUUGCUUCACAGUAUUUAGCCCACUUCUUGCUCUCCUCAAGCUUCUCCAUGUAAUCUGGGGUUAUUUCCCACCUACAGCUCUCUGUUUUCUCUCUGAUGCCCUGGUACUUAACCAUUAGUUUGGUCCUCAACCCUUCAAACAUGGUCUUAAUUAGUUUUGACCUAACAUCUAGAAUCAUUUUUUUGAAAACCUCACUAAGGUUGUUCACUACCAAGUCAGUCUUGCACACAUGAUCCAUUGCAUAUCUAGCCCAACACUCCUUAGGGAUGCCAUUCAACCACAUGUAGGCUGGUUCACAUGCUGCUUUCAAACCUGCCAUUCCUUCUUUGUGACCAUGUUUAGUGAAGGAAUAGCUAGCUUUGUCAACCCAUUUCUUAAGUUCUUCUGCUCUAAAGCCAGCUGACUGGAAGUUGGCAUAUAUGUGUCUUAGGCAAUAUCUUUGUGGGGAUUGAGGAAAUACUUCAUUAAUUGCUUUAAGAAGGCCCUGUUGUUUGAUUACAUAAGGUAGUAAUGAGAUAACUAUAGCAGCAUUGCUAUGUGCAUAAGAAUAAUACAGAGCCAGAGAAAAUACCUUCUGCCUGUCAGACAUGAUGGUGUAGUUUCCAAACUGGUUGCUGGUGCCAAUGCAGACUCUAAGUUGGUUUAAAAACCAGGUCCAGCUAGGCCCAUCCUCUUUGUCAACCACCCCAAAAGCAAUUGGGAACACAUUGUUGUUCCCAUCUCUCCCAGUUGCUACCAAUAUCUGUUGGCCUGUGGAUAACUUGAUGAAGCAACCAUCAAGUCUUGCAUAAACAGAGAUAGUUAGGGCAAAAUUGAAUAACUUGAUUACAUUUGUAACAUGAUUAAAUCACUGAUUUGUACCUAUGAAAGGCCUACAACCAGCAAGAAAUCCAUCUUUUGAUGCCUGGAGGCAAUAGAACAUGUACUUGAACCUUGGUGUGGGGGCUGGGUUCAAAGGAUCCUCAAAAGUUGUCACUAUGCACCUGCUUCCAGGGUUUGUGUCAAGCACACAUUGUAGGUAGUCCCUCAACCUCAGAUACUGCUUUCUAUGAUCACCUUGCACAACAUCAACAGCCAUCAGUCUUGCCCUAUAUGCCAAACUCCUAGGUACAUGCACCCCAAACUUCUUCUUAGUAUGUUUGAGAACUGUCUCUACAUCAGCCUUUACAUUUGAUCUAACUGUGUCCUCCACAGCUUCUGCAACCCAUUCAGCAGUAACCUUUGUACUCUCUCCACAAGCUCCACAACUAUGAUCCAUGUGGCACUUCUUGAUUGUGAAUGUAUCUUCAUGGGCUACUUUGGAUGCAGUCAUGAAAAAAUCACAUCCAUUCUUCCUCUCUGGGCACCAAACAAUAACCCUUGAUGGUUCAUUCCUAUGGUACUGAAAGUUUCUCAAAGUCCUAACAUGAAAAUUUCUCAAUGCCUUUCUAAACUCAUACACAUUGGUGAAGCAAAGGUCCUUGCACAGCUGCUCAUGUGCAUCAGGUACCUUUGGGUCAUACCAUUUCCUCUCUUUCUUCUUCUUCAAUCUUCUCUUCCUUCCAGAAGGUAGUCUUGGAGUCUCCCCAUCUGAGUCAGAAAUGCCCAUAUCACCAGGGAAGCAAUACUCAUCAGCUUCAAGUACAAAAUCUUGAAACUUUGGGAUCUCUGGCUGACUGUGAGCUCUGGAAGUUGGACCUGGAUUUGCUACUGCUCUUCUCACAGGCUUGAGUUUCUCAGGCCUGCAUUUUUCCACAACUAUUUCCUCUCCACUGUCUGCCUCUUUCUCCUCCUGCCAAAACUCUGAAACAUCACUGUCACCUUCAAACUGUGGUCUGUCUUCUAUAGCAUCUCUUUCUUCUUCAUUUCCAAUAUUUUCUUCACCUCUCUUCCAAGCCUUGUAAGACAUCUUUAUCCCUCUAUAGUCACCCCUAUCAAUCUCAAAGUCUGAGGAUGAUUUGUCAAUAUCAUCAUCCUCUUGACCAGCAGCCUGUCCAUCAUCAUCUCCACCAUUAGCUUCUGAAAUGUUGAAGUUACAGCUUUGCUGUGUGUUCAAAUUAACUUCAAGAGGGUGGACCACUCCAUCUUGUGACAGACUUAACACAAAACCAGGACCCCCCAGUGGGUUGCCUAUUGGAAUUUGUUCUUCACAAACAUUGUGAGCCCUGUUACAUUCAACAUCUCUAUCUUCAUUUGCCUUGGAAACAAUGAUAUUGAGCACUGUGAAAUCUAAGUGGUCUAUCAUUUCUUCAACUGCAUCUUGACUGUCCAAAAGAAAUAAACCUUCCUGUCCAAUCCCUUGUUCUUUUACCCAGUACAUGUAGUCAUCUGACCCAUAGCCUUCAGUCUCAGUAAGUGCUAUCAAGUUCAGAAAUGUGAUGUCUGAAACAGAAAACCUCCUUUCCAUAUUAUCUCUGCCCUGGAAAUGCAGCCUAACAUCCCAAACUUCAUCAUCUAGCCUGCAUUACAUAAUAUGUUAUUUGAAAAGCCCAACUAAGUAAGUGUUUUUGCUACAAAUAUUCAGUGCACACUACUAUAAAGUACAGUAAGGAAUCUGAAUCCAAAAAAUGCUUCUCUGAAUCCACCAUGCAUUUCUACUAAAUCUAACUAAUCCUUCAGUGCUAAGUGAUACUGUUGCAUCCAAAACAUGCCACAGAGUGUUUGCUCAACUAUUAUUCAGUGCAUGUUCAUGUUCUAAGAUGAAUCACAGCAGCAUCAACCUAGGGUUUGGUCAAAAAACUAACUAAAUUAUGCUAUGUUAUUUGAAAUGAACAAGCAGAAAUGCAGAAACUGUUGAAGGAGCUCAUAAGAGGAAAAAAACUUACUCCACCCCUCCAAAUGCAGAGGCCCAGUGCUGGGAGUUGGCCGGAUCUGCCUGCACAGCCCUAUCAAGAGACCUCGCUGCUCUGUACUCAAGCGAGAACUGGCAAUCAUCAGGCGACGGUGGUGUAGCCUGUGUCGUAGGAGCCUGCAUCAGAGCUGCAGCCUGUGGUGUCCGCUGCGGCGGCGGCGGCGCCGCCGGCUAGGUUGCGAAGCUACCACUCCCCAGCCAGUUAUCAACCUCUAAGAACUCGCCGCCUCCAUCCCCCCUUCCACCUCCACCCGUUGAAUGGCCGCCAUCGCCUAGUUUCGCCGCCGCCGCCGCCAUCGGAGAGGGAGGCGCGCACAAGAGAGAGGGAGACAGAGAGGGGGAAGACAGAGUGAGGGCGGGCCGGAUCCAUUUGACUUGGUCGGGACGGCCCGUGUGCCCUAACGGCCGUCACCCGCGCGCCGUGAGCACUGUGGCCGACAAAACCCUGACGGGCGGGCCCCACAUGUCAUAACCCCAGUUAAAACUUAACCGUUCGGCCACUUGGGUUUUUUGGAACAGCCAGCCACUUUUGUGGUAGUUUUUUGAAAAAUUAAAAAAAGCGGUAGUUUUCCGGAACGAUAGCCUGUAAUGUGGUAGUUUUUUGCUAUUUACUCCAAAUAAAUGCUUAAAAAGAGUGCAUCUAAUGGAGUAGUACAAAAUGGUAAAGAAAAUAAAUCAGCCACUAAUGGAGUAACAAAGGUGAUAGCACGGAGUUUGGUAGGCACCGACAAUGAGUAAGCAGGCUGAGGCCACCGGUGCACGAAGAGGAUCAGAAGCGCUGGUUGGGGCUGUGGUUUGGGGCGGCUGCGAUGAAACUUCUUAUUCAACGCUUAUAGCACCGUUUACAGUGUUAUCGGUACCUUUUUUUUGAGGGAAAGAGCCAACUUUAUUAAUCAAAAUCCACAGUGCGUGGGACACAACGAUGGUCAUGGGGCUGGCCAAGCCACACAUGACGCCCUGGUGGUAGCGAUAAAGAAAACCUAGCUAUCUCGUGAGCUUCAGCAUUCUGAGCUCGACUCUCAAAGGUGAAAUUACAUAAAAGUGGUGAUGAGCUCAUCUUUAUCUCUCUGAUUAUAGCUCCAUAAGUGCCAUGACUACCCAUAGCAAUGUCGCCAAUGACUUGUUUGCAGUCCGAAGCCACCACAAAACGUUGCACAUUAAGAUCUUGUGCUAGGGAAAUAGCCUCCCGACAUGCUAUGGCCUCCAGUGUCGCGGGGUCGCAAACUCCGACAAUGACAAGUGAUGAGCUCCCCAUAUAGACACCCUGGCUGUCACUGCAUAUGGCCGCGGCCGUGCCACCCCUCUGAAAUCUUACUGCCACGUCAACAUGAACCUUAGCAUAGCCAGCAGGUGGAGCCUUCAGCCUCUGAGUAGAAGCGUGGCCAGUAGCUGCAGAACGUACGUUGAUCUUUGCAGGGAGUGAGGCAGUAGCCAAAUCAGCCAUGAAGCGAGUUAUAAACUCCUUCGUCGCCCUGGGUGAUUGGAAUAUUGAUUCAUGGAUAGCUUUUCUCCUCGAGGUCCAGAUCGCCCAUAAGGUGACCGCCAGCAGAGUGAACUUCUCAUGUGUUAGCAUAUCCAUUAAUCCAAAGAGCCAGCUCUUCGCCCUCGUCUCCGUUGAUGCGACCAGACUGCAGCCCAAGUCCUCAUCUACCAACGCCCAUAUGCAUCUGGAGACUGUGCACUCCAGGAGGGAAUGACUCCAUGAAUCAGGAGAACCGCAGAGGCCGCACGAGCUAGUCGUUGACAUAUUACGAUGGGCCCUCACAUCCUCCGUCGGUAGUGACUGUUUUGAUAAACGCCAUAGAAACAUGCGUACUUUUGCUGGUACCACAGUUUUCCAGAGGGACUUCCAAGAGGCUUCAUCGACAUGGUUGCUGGAUGAUGCGCCGGAGCCCUCUAGCCACGCCUCUCGCCGUUGCUUCAUAGAUACCAACAUAUUAUAGGCUGACCUGACUGUGAAUUGUCCGGUUCUCUCGUGCAUCCAGCUCCAAAAGUCCUGCAUAGGAGCCGUACACAACGGGAUACCCAUGAUGAUUUUAGCAUCGAAAGGCAAGAAAGUUGCUUCCACCACAGAUCUCUUCCAUGAAGCAUUAGUUGCAUCGAUCAGUUCAGAUACUGUGUUGGGAGGAUUACUUACGCAACAACCAUACGGUCUCAUCAUCUCUGACCGGGGAAGCCAGUUUUCGGUCCAAAUGCUGGUGCUCGCCCCAUCUCCUAUCCGCUUGAUCAGUCCCAAUUUAAGAAUAUCCCGGCCUUCCACUAUGGCUCUCCAUAUCUGACUUGGAUGGUUCCCAAGUGUUGCCUCAAGUAUAGAUGUAUGUGGAAAAUAUACGCUCUUCAGAAUCCGUGCACUCAGAGACUCGGGGUCUUGUAACAUUCUCCAUGCCUGCCUGGCUAACAUGGCAAGAUUGAAAAGCUCAAAAUCUUUGAAUCCAAGGCCUCCCAUGCUUUUUGGUUGUGUCAUUGCUUCCCAAGAGACCCAGUGAGGUUUGCGUUGGCCGUUUGAGCUCCCCCACCAAAAUUUCCUUAUUAGCAUAUUGAGGUGCUCACAUAACCCCCUAGGUAGUUUGAAACAAGACAUGGAAAAUACCGGCACUGACUGGGCAACAGAUUUGACUAGUACCUCUUUUCCUGCCGCCGACAAAGUUCUCUCUAUCCAUCCCUGAAUUUUGCUCCAUAAUCUGUCCUUCAAAUAUUUGAAGGCACCGUUUUUUGAACUCCCUAUAUCAGAUGGCAUGCCCAGAUACUUCUCAUUCAAGGUUUCCUUGGGGACAUUGAACAUACCUUUUAUAGCAUUGCGAGUUUCCUCAGAAACGCCUUUACUAAAGAAAAUUGAGGAUUUGUUGUAGUUGAUUCUUUGACCUGAAGCUUGGCUAUAAAUUUCCAACAACUGGUUAACCUCUGUAGCACCCGCACUGUUGGCCUUGAAGAACAGCAGGCUGUCAUCAGCGAAUAGAAGAUGGUUAACUAGUGGUGCCUGCAGCGCCACCUGAAUCCCACCCAAGUUUGAUGACUCACUUUGUGAUUUGAAAAGGCACGACAUGCCCUCUGCUGCUAACAAGAACAAGUACGGUGAUAUUGGGUCACCUUGUCGGAUUCCACGUGAUGGGUUGAACUCCUCAAGUUUCUUUCCAUUGAACAUGACUGCGAAUUUUACUGAGGUAACCAUGCCCAUUACAAUAUCCACCCACCUUCUGUUAAAACCCAAUAUAAUCAUGAUGGCUUAGAGAUAAGCCCAUUCAACUCGAUCAUACGCCUUCAUCAUAUCCAAUUUCAGAGCACAUGAGUGAUUUUUCUUUUCCUUGUUCCUCUUCAUGAAAUGCAAUCACUCAUAUGCCGUUAUUAUGUUGUCUGUGAUCAAUCUCCCCGGAACAAAGGCUGAUUGUUCAGCAGAAAUUAUAUCUGGCAGUAUCUGUUUGAGUCUGUUGGAGAUUACCUUGGACGCUAUUUUAUAGAGCACGUUACAUAAACUUAUGGGCCGAAACUGGGCAAGGAGUGUGGGGUUUUUGACCUUGGGGAUGAGAACCAGCACCGUAUUGUUAAUGCAUGCUGCUGACUCUGUCCCGUCCACAAUUUUGAGUACCACUUUCGUUACAUCUGCACCGCAUACAUCCCAGUGGCGCUGAAAGAAGUGAGCGGGGAAUCCAUCCGGGCCAGGGGCUUUGAUUGGAAACAUUUGGAACAACACACUUUUCACUUCAUCGUGUGUGUAAGGAGCAUUCAGACGAUCGUUCAUUGCCUGCGUUACUUUAGUAGAUACUGACUCCAGUACCCUAUCCAUGCCCUGUACUCCCUCGGUUGUGUAUAAGUUUUUGUAAAAUUCGGUGGUAAGCUCCUCCAUCUCCUCCCUGUCCUCGGUCAGCUAUCCAUCCGAUCGCUGCAACAAUUUUAUCUGGUUCUUCCGGCGGCGGCGGCUCGCUCGCAGGUGAAAAGAAUAAGUGUUUUUGUCACCAUGGACCAGCCAAUCCAGUCGAGCGCGUUGGCGCCACAUCAAUUCCUCUCUAUCAAACAGUUCGACCAGUCUGUCAGCUAUCUUGGUUUCAGUGUUUGUCGGUCCCGUCCGUCCUGGCGCUGAACGCAUGACCUCAAGCUGGCGUUGGAGUUGGCGAAUCUCCAUACGCACCGAUCCGAAGUUGUUGCGGUCCCACGCUGACAAAUCUCCCGCCAGGUUCCCUAGUUUUGCAUGUAUGCCCUCAACCGAUUCUCCAUCCUGCAGACUCCAGCUAUCACGCACAGUGUCAAACAGUGUUUCGUCCCUUUCCCACAUCGUCUCAUAUUUAAAAGCCUUGUGGCCCAUUUUGCAUGCAUGCAACUCACGUAGCUGAAGAAGAAUAGGAAUGUGAUCUGAACUAGCAGCACUUUUGUGCGAUAGCUGUGAUGAUGCGAGGGCGAGAGUCCAUUCUGUAUUUACCAGGCACCUGUCCAGCCUAACCUGGGUGUAGGUGCCUCCUGUGACCCUUUUUUCAAAUGUCCAACUAGUGCCAGAGUAUCCAAUAUCUGAUAACCCACAUGUAUCAACUGCUUCCCUGAAUGCUUCUAUUUGGGCUUGGCUUCGUUGUCCCACACCAUCAUGUUCAUGGCUGUGAAGAACCUCAUUAAAAUCUUCCAUGACUGCCCACGGUCUGUUCUGCGUCUCAGCAAUACCGCGCAGGGUGUCCCAUGUUUUGUAUCUCUCUGGUACCUGGGCUUCGCCAUAGACAAAGGUAAUUCUUACCUGCAAAUCAACUAAGUCAUCAACAAGAAUAUCAAUGUGAUACUUUGAGUAAUCGAUAACUUCCACUUUUAUUUCAUCGUUCCAAAAAAUUCCAAGUCCACCACUUCUACCGGAACUACUAACUGCAAAGCUUUUAUUGUAGCCUAUGCUAUCAGCCAUACUCUCAACCCUCUUUCCCUCUAUUUGAGUUUCAAGAAUACAAACAAUAGAGGGGGCAAACUGCCUCGCUAGAUCGUGAAGCUCUCUAACUGUCGCGGCUUUGCCAAUCCCGCGAAAGUUCCAGCAAAGAAGACUCAUUGCGCUAGGCGCGGCCCCGCUUCGGAGCCCGCCACAUGCGCAUCAGGGUUUUUGGUAGAAACUGUGCUCUUCUCCAGAGCUGACUCAUUAGACGAGGUUGACUUCAAUCUUUUCAGAUCCUGCUUGGGAGGAGGGCUAAGGGGCACCGCAGGUGAUGGCAGAAACAGUUGCUUCGUCUGUUGUACCGAAUAGGUUGGGAACGUGGUUUUUGGAUCAUGUGCCCCUCUCUUCCUGUUGCGAUCAACCUCAGUCAUUGCUACAUCUCCGUCUCGCUGAUCACGUUCCUGGUGAUGUUGAUCAUCAAACGAGUCUGCACUAUUGGGCGAUCGUCCUCUUCCUCUUCCCCCACGGCCUCUGCCGCGACCUCUCCCUGCAUUGCUGCUCUCGCCUUGAUAUCUUUGAAGACCAGAGUCUUUGGGGCAUGAACCCCGUCCCCGCACUCUUUGUGUUGGUGACCUAGAUGUCCACAAACUGCACACCAGUCCGGCAGUCUUUCAUAUUUGACUCUAAAGAUGACUCGUUCCACCGAAUCCUUUUUCCUUAUUACCAGUGAAACAACGUUCUUCAAAGGUUUAGUGACAUCGAUCCUGACUCAAACUCUAGCAAAGUUACCUUCAAAAUCCGGGGAUCUAGGCUCUGCAUAUAUGAAUUCUCCCAUAGUAGCAGACAUAGCUUUGACCUUAGAAAAGAAGCCAUCGGGCAGGUCGUGAAUCUGGAUCCAAAUUUCCAAUUUGUUGAGCUCUAUAGACGACGGCUUUGUGAAGCCAUCAUACUCUGCCAGAACUACUGCUUUCCCCUUGAAAUUCCAGGGGCCAUCUCCCAUAACCCUCUCCCAGUCACCCAGGCACGAGAAUUGCAUUGAGUACAGAUUAUCUUCCAGUGGUCUGAUCUUUACCUCUUGAGCUAGGUCCCAGGCCACUCUCAUAUUCCUAUAAAACCAAUAUUGGCUGUAUGUUUUCUCCGUGUGAACCCUAGCCAACGCCAUCCAGCGUGUUUCUUCCUUCGGCAGCUCGGUGUCUUCCACCACAACAUCAAUCAGAUCAUCUUCUUUCAGUCCAAGUUCCUCCAUCAUCGCAGCCAGAUUGGACGCAGUUGUACUUGAUCCAGAUGCAGUCGAACUCAUCAUGCGCUCGCUCGAGGUUAGGGUUCCGCGAGCGGUAGGUCCCAAGGAGUCACCACCCGCCCAGAACGCCGCGGCGGCCGAAGGCCACAGCGAUCGCCGGAAGGGGGUUAACAUCCGGGGAGGAAAAGUCCCUACGGUGUCGGCGUCGCCGUCGCUCGAGGGAAGAGAAAAACCCUAACGAGAGGGGAAACUUAGGAGGGAGAUUAGUGUUAUCGGUACCUGCCGCCCACACUACUUUAGAUAGCUAAUUGUAACUGGGCUGGCCCAUAUGUGUGAGCCCUCCUCCAUUACCGGUUGUGAAGGAAUUUCCUAUUCAACGCUUAUACCAUUUGUUAUAGUGUUUUCCUUUUGUUACAGUGUUAUCCGGGGACCUCCUACUUGGUCACCUGCGCGCAAAGUAGGAGGGAACGUGCACCCUUGGCUCCCAUGUAAGAGUUUUUCCCGCCCUAUUUUUAUUAUUUCAUUUUUAUGCCUUUUGUUUUUUCAUUUCUGUUUGUGUUUUUCUUCUUUAAAUAAUGUGUGGUUAAAAAAAUUCCCAAUUUCAAAACAAUACCAAAAUUGUUUGACAAAUCAGGAAAUAUUUGUGAAUUAAAAAUUGUUGAUGACUCUUCACUUCAGUGUCUCGACCCACCGGAACAAAAGCCGUGUGUACAAAUUGUGUUCGAAGCUUAUCGUAAACUGGCUUAGCAAGUGUAGUCUUGCCAAGUCUGCCUGGUCCAACAAUUGAGACCAUCUUCAUCUUGUGCUGCUGUUGCUUGAGACCAUGUGUGAGCCUCUUGGUUAGCUUGUUCCAUGCAUCUUCAAUGCCAACGAGCUCUUUCUGAUCAUUGUACAAAGCCAAUACACGAGGGUCAACCUUCUGUUUGCUAGCUGGAUUAGGAACAUCAUUGACCCUGUAUCUGGCACGCCGGCCAGCCAUCUCUUGAGAGCGGUUCUUGAUGUACCUGAUUGCAUCUCCGAUCUGAUGGCGAGUCUUGCCUUUUGUGAACAAGUUGGCCAUCUUCCCUACCUAUCAUUUGAUCAUGUUUGAGUUGGGGACGGCAUCAGAUUCAUAUCCCUCGACGGACACUAGGAAGUUAUCGAUGACAUCCUCCAUGUCAUACGACAGCUCCCUUUUAGGGAUUCAUGUCCCUUGGAAUCUCCGCCACCUUUACGAGGGCAGCGUUCAAGCUCUUCAUGUCCCUCUGGAGGGACUCGACGUACCGAAUAAAUGGGAGUUAGAGGACAGGAAUCUGUUGUAGGAAAGACAAAGGAAAUUGUUCUCCAUCGCCGUCCGGUUCCACUGGGAAAAAAUUACAUCCACUGCAACACCAAGACCGCAUGCUUACCGAGUAGUAGUAGAAGCAGCAGAGCUGAGUAAGGCACCCACUACCGAAUGCAGGGAUAAAUCCAGCACCAAGUAAGCAGCUCACAAGUGAGAGACGGCAUGCGCUUUGCGAACGGAAGGACAGGAGCAGAAAACAUUUUGGGAGAAAGAUCGACGUGGCUCAGAAAAUUGAAGGCGGUCUACUCCUCCUGAUUGAAGCCGGCGACUACACAAGCGCCAUGGUUUGAUGGAGCAAGAGAAAUGGUGUUGAACCCCCAACUCGUUCCAUUUCUAGCAGAAAAGUAGGGCAAUAAUUGAGUGGUGGUAUGUUAUUAGUGCUGGUAAUGGAGUAGGAAGCACCCUAGAAGUGCACCAACUAGUACAUCAAAAUACUCCUGCCAGUGGCGGUGGUAGAUCAUUCAUGUGUACUACUCGAUCGUAACAAGAACAAUUACAUGAACCAGCUUGUGCCACUAGUAAUAAUAUUUAGCUUAUUUUUACAUUAAGUUUUGCAAUGAAUAAUAUUUAGGUUAUUAAAAAGACUAUAGUUUAAUGGAUGGCCCAGAUUUGGAAAUAUUACUGCAGAUUUUUGGUAGUAAUAGACUUGCUUCACUUGUCGAUUUAUAUGAUCUGUCGCUUUCAGCGACGUUUGGGGCUGUGAUUUGGGUUUGUUGUCAUUGAAAUUGCACAACUAUAGAAACUGGAUUCUUUUUUAUUAUUAUAGUGAGCACAAGGAAUCAUGUUACUAGUUGAAUUCAUAGAAAAAGACUCCAUUCAGACUCUGUCCUGCUCCAUGAAAAUAUCCUAUCAGAUAGACGCAGAGCGGUACAUAUACAGACUCAGGUUUCUUGAAAUCUAAUGCAACCAAGUCUUGUACAAUGGUCACAUGUUAUGUGACCUGAACCAAUUAUGGGUUUGCACUUGAUAAUUCCCGCACGAACCACAUGUAAACAUGGUUCGAAGGCUUGAAUAACAAUGUAAAAUUGAUGUCAAGUUUUCCCGACUUGAUUCCUGUCUAGGUUGGAGUCAUCAGUCUACUUGAAGCACUCGUUUUUCUCAUCUACGUUGGAGGACUGAUUGGAGCAUGAAUUAGUUGAGGAGAUAGAAACCCAUUUUUGGCGAGGGAGAGGACAGAAACCCAUGACACAACAAGGUUUUCAUGAUCAUCAUUGGCUAACUUCAAAGUUCCAACAGAGUGCCAACUACCAAGUGAGUAGCAGUACAAGGCACUGUUCAGCUGAAUCAAUCUUUACAACAUUAACCUAUCAUUCACUGGCGUUUCAUACCCAGAAUUGACUCUUAUAACAGUACAGAAGCAAACCCCUACUUCGAGUCAGUGUUGCUCUGUACUUUUUUUAACGGAGGUUAUAACUACGGCCUCUUUAUUUAUUAUUCAGCGGCCAUCUUUAUUUAUUAUUCCACCAAAGUCUAACAAAAACAUACAUCAAGCUACUCGAAGACAUCACUCACACCUACAAAACUCGAAAAUGUAGAGUGCUCUCACACUCCUCAUAUCUAAACCGGUAUCGUCGCUGAUCCAUCCACAUAACGUGUCGGAACGAACAGCCAGUGCAGCAGACCUAAAGCGCACACCACAUGCACAUGUUUUAGACGCCGCCAUCAUCUGCAGACCGCUGACCCAUCUUCAGGAGAGAGAUCCACAUCAUCCUUGCCAGUCCGUCCAUCCAGUCCCUCCCUCCUCUCGGCCUCCCUAUUAUCCCUCCUCACCCUCUGCUGCUGAUCUGUGGCGGCCUCUCCAAUAGCUCUGUGGCCUUCUUUCGCUGCCGCACCGGCCCGAGCGUUGUCGCUUGCAAGCCGUCCGGAGGCCACAAUGGCGCUCUCCCGUCGGGACUUUGCCACAUUCCAGCAUAUCAGUUGCUCUGUCAUGGGGAUCUGUCCUGCUCCUAGCCGUGUCUCCCGCGAUGGUGGUAGACCUGACUUGUACUACAAUGUUCUUUGGUCGCACGGCUGGCCACGGCGGUUUGCUCCGUUCCUUUGUAUCUAUGUUGCAGCUUCAAUUGUGUUAUGCAUGUCAUGGAUGUAUUAUAAUUCUGGGAUGCAUGUAAUUGUAUUGCUAUGAAUCUUAAAAUUGCUAGGUGUUCCAUGAACCAAUGAAUAUGCUAGAAAAUAUUACUCUGUCAUAUAUAUGUUAGAAAAUGUUCUCGUCGGGCCGGGUUUCUCUGCCCUAGAGAACAUAUUCUACAUGUUAUAUGCGACAAUGUAGUGAUGAAUAUUUCACCGGAAAUAGUGUAAAUGCAACCAACUCCCCCAUUAGGAGACAGAGUGGAAUAUUGUUUGACGAUAGACUUGGUUUAUGCAUAUUCGACGCACGUUUGAAUUUUUUCUCCCGAGCCACAAGAAAGCUCCUCGCGCGACCGCGUCCGUCCCUCAUGGGCGGCCGGCCGCGCUGUCCAUCCCUCCUUCCCAGCGCUCUCCCCCACCCUCUCUCUCCCCACCGUUGCCGGGGUGCAUCCCCGGGCUCGGCUCGGGCGGCGCCGGCGGUGCGGCCCACGGCUUUCCCCCCUGCGGCAGAUCCUGUGCGGGGCGGCGCUGCUUAAGGAGGUGCUCUCAGGUGGCGAUGGUUCGGCGCUGCGGUGGGCUGGUUCGCCGCUGACUUCGGUGGUCAGAGGCGGAGGAGCUCCGCGGCGGCGCGGGCUGGUGGCGCCCGUUCGGCCCAGAUCUGGGCCGAGGCGGGCCGGCAGCUCCGAUUUGUGGUGUAUCUUCCUGGAAGCGGCGGUGGGGUGUCUGGAUCCUGGGUGGUGGCGGCAUCGUUGCCGGAUUGUGCAGCGUGGCGGUGGAGUCUUUGCGGGAUCGAUCUGAGCCCGGCUAGGCCCGGGUGGCCUGGUUUGCCUCCCGCCUCGGCGUCCGGCUGGCUACCGCGAUGGCGUUGGAGGAACUGGCCUCUGGCGCGGCGUCGGUGGAGGUUGUCCCCUCCCGCUUGGCUGCGGUGCUGCCACCCCCGGCUCCAUGCGUUCUCAUUUUCCGUCCUCUAGGCCUCGCGGUGGUGGCCUUAGUGAGACGGCGUGGGUGGCCUCAAGACCGCGGUGGCGAAGGAGGGUGGGUGGCGUGUUGGGUGGAAGACUCCGGAGCGAUUGGGUAGUGUGCACAAGUGUUAGAAUCCUAAAAGGUAAAUAGUUUCUUAAGAUCUGAAGCAAGUGUUGGAAGAUUCUGCUGCCUCUAGAUACACAACAAAUGUCCACAUGUUGCUUCUUGGAGAAGCCGAGAGAGCCUUGAGCGGAGUGUUUAACCUUAUGUAUGAUAUUCUUAACUACCAUUUGUAUUAAAUGAACCAAUAAACAUUUUAUGUUAAUUGUCUUGACAAAUUUUGCUGUGUGCAGACUUACAUAUUAGUGGCACUACACAAAAAAAGAUGGCUAAGGGGUUUAUGAAGUAGGAUAGAGAUUGGUGAGAAAAUAUGUGCCCUCUCUCUCGUUUGUAAAGAGGUUCAAAUGUUAUGUGUGUAGCUUUUGCUAGUAUUCUCGAAUCGUUGGCCGUGAAUUGUCAAUUGUGUAAAUGUACAUGUGAAUUGUCUUAUGAAAAACAAUGUGCAACUGAGUGAUUAUGCCUGUGUAUUGUGUUCAUGUCUUUCUGUAAAUUUCGUUUGCAUUGCUGGUAACAUACUGAAAUGAAGUGCAUGCAUGCAAUGGUGAAAUGAAUCGGUACGAUCGACUGGCUGGCGGUCCAAACUAGUACACUAUCACUGACCGGUUAGAUUGCGGGUCUAUGAUGAGCAAGUCAUCACAAACCCUGAUCCACUGACAGACCAGCAACUAGUUAGUGAUGAUGAAAUUUGGCCGGUAAGUGUUAUUCGGAUUUGUAGUANNNNNNNNNNNNNNNNNNNNNNNNNNNNNNNNNNNNNNNNNNNNNNNNNNNNNNNNNNNNNNNNNNNNNNNNNNNNNNNNNNNNNNNNNNNNNNNNNNNNNNNNNNNNNNNNNNNNNNNNNNNNNNNNNNNNNNNNNNNNNNNNNNNNNNNNNNNNNNNNNNNNNNNNNNNNNNNNNNNNNNNNNNNNNNNNNNNNNNNNNNNNNNNNNNNNNNNNNNNNNNNNNNNNNNNNNNNNNNNNNNNNNNNNNNNNNNNNNNNNNNNNNNNNNNNNNNNNNNNNNNNNNNNNNNNNNNNNNNNNNNNNNNNNNNNNNNNNNNNNNCUCGGGUUUCUGCCCCUUUAUGAUAUAUGAGAAAACUGAACGAUUCAGGUGAAACUAGUCAUGAUAAUAAUUAGCAAUUCUAGUAUUUUAACACACAUAUCCCAAUCACUAUAGUUUUUUCAAACGACUAUUUUAACAACGCAUCUACGAUUCAUAGUAAAAUGUGACAUUGUAUACUGUAAAAUUUCUACAAUCUACAAGGUCAAAUUUAUUGUAAAUGUGACCACAACACCAGAUACACUAGAAAUAAAGUAAAACCCUAAAAGUCCCAUGCUAGCUAGACUACUCUUGGUUGGCUAGAAAUUAGGAGGGAGUACCCAGAUGCCAGUUUGAGCACGAGCUGCUACAUAAGAUCCCGCUGAUUUGAUCCUCUGUGUGACAUUGUCGCUACUUUCAUCUUGCAUAGGAUAUACACGGUUACCAUUGCCAUCAAAACUUGCCAAGUAUGUCAUAUCAUCAGCGUAGAUGUGGUUUCUCUGCACCCUGUCGCGCCCAACCACCGGCACGUCAACCGCCCUGGACAUUUUCCCCAAAAAUAAGGCGGAGUCACCCAAGGUCCUUACUUCCUCCCACUUACGAGCAUACUUUGUCAUCGAGUCAUCAUCCAACACAUAAACCUUGAAGAAAGGCUCAGGGCCGGUGUGGUAUGAUGGGAAUUUCCCCAGUACCAUCGCUAGCUUCCCUUGCAGCUCAACAAUGUGAGUCGACCAUGUGAAAGGUUCACUAACAAUCUUGAUAUGCAACUCGGCGUCAAUGGCGAGCAGAGGCCUGCCAUAUUUGUUCGCGCCUAUGUUGAAUUUGAUCAGGUCAUUGGAGAAUAUUAUAUUAAUGUCAAUUUAAUAUUAUACUAUGUGUCGUCAAUUUAAAAGGCUCCUGCCGUCAUGCCUUUGAGUAUUAUAUUAAUGUCAAAUUGUUUAAAUGCUAGUAAUUAGUUAACUUAGAAGCAAACUGUUUAUUGAUAAAAUGCUAUAGUAUAAUUAAGGGAGUUUUUUUUUUGAAAAAUAAUAAUGUUAGAUAUAUGCUGAUGCAACAAGGGCAUGAUUUUAUUUGUUAGCAAUACUAAUAAAAAAGUUCAUAGAAAAUAAUUUUAUACUCCCGAGGGUUAUACACAUAGUUUAAUUUGUUAAUUGUUAAAAAGUUAGCUAUACAACUAGCUAUAUAUUUGUAAAUACUAAUUAGUAGUGUAAAAAAGCAGGAACGAGCACCCGCCUAUGAUACCUUGAUUUACCAACACAAAACGUGCAUCUUGUGUGUAUGAUUGUGAAAUGCACGUUGUGUGUGGAGUUUGACAUCUAAUUUUUAACCCGCUGUUGGUCUUUCAUAUAGAGGAAUGUCUCGCUGUGCUUCCACGAGUCCCUGUAGUUCGCUACGGCUCAGAAACACAGUGUUCGGACGUCAGAUACACUAAAGUUGCACUAUGACAACCAUUGUACAAUCCAGCCCGCCUCAGUUAUAUUAAUAAAAAUAUCGAUCCGAGAACUUUAUCAUGUAUCUGGUUGCGACAGACGCAUAUACGUUCGAGAAAAAGGAGAUAAAUGGUCCUGCGAAGGUAAGGUGGCAGCUAUCGGUGUUCUAGUACACAAGACAACCGAACGCUACACACAGUACUACAAGUCAGUAAUAAAUAGAGUCUGGCGACUACUAGGCUGGCAUGACAGUGCUGUCGAGCGACUCGCCGAUGUGUAUGGCAAUGUGGAAAAUGCAUCCCAUUACUUCUCAUCUCCGCUCCUCUUUGCUCGGUUUGUCCAAGAAGCGGAACACACCACUCAUGUCGGCCUACAUGGCAUAACAUGCUCGUGGAGAAACUAUGNNNNNNNNNNNNNNNNNNNNNNNNNNNNNNNNNNNNNNNNNNNNNNNNNNNNNNNNNNNNNNNNNNNNNNNNNNNNNNNNNNNNNNNNNNNNNNNNNNNNNNNNNNNNNNNNNNNNNNNNNNNNNNNNNNNNNNNNNNNNNNNNNNNNNNNNNNNNNNNNNNNNNNNNNNNNNNNNNNNNNNNNNNNNNNNNNNNNNNNNNNNNNNNNNNNNNNNNNNNNNNNNNNNNNNNNNNNNNNNNNNNNNNNNNNNNNNNNNAAGACGAUGAAAAUUGAGUAAACACAAAAGUAAAGUAGCCGGUCUCAUUAUCAUUAGAAGACGAUGGCAACUACUGCAUGCACCCAUACAUUCUUGGAUCGCUAUAUUUGGCUUAUUCGGUCACAAACCGACGACUUUGCAGCUGCUACAUAAACAACGCUACUCUGGAUCUUAGGGAAAAAUGUUUGGAGACGGAUAUUGAUAAAGGAAACCGAGGAGAGUUGGUGAUGUGAGUCUACUCCAUCGUGCAUGCUACCUACAUGGACAAGCACAUCCGACCUGGCACAGCCUCGAGUUUCAUUAUCCCCUCUUGAUCCCUCUGAUGUUUCCUCUUUCUCUUCAUCAUCAUCUUCACAUCCCUCAAUGUGCACGUUUUUGUGCCUCGAUUUGAUUGGUUCAACUACUUGCUGGCUAUCCUCAGAGUGGUCAAUUUUUUUGGUGUUCGCGAGGAGUCACCAGUACAAGCAUGGUACUGAUAUGUCAUACAUGACCGUGGCAUUUGUACUUGUAGUUUCCUUUCAUUUUUCAUUUUCCUUUUUAAACGCAUACUGUACUUUCUUUACUACACGAUAAUUAAUAUACACUGCACAUUUUUGUAGUAUACGUCAAACAAAUUUUUUAAUUGUAUGAAAACAUAUUUUAUAUUCACACUAUUUUAAAAAAAUAUAGUGAAUAUUUCUAAAUACAUCUAUAAUUUUUUAAUACACAAUGGACAAUUUUUUCAUGUACACAUAACACUUUUUAGUAUAUGAGGAACAUUUGAAAUAUACGGCGAACAUUUUCUAUAUACCCACUAAUAUUUUUAUAAAUGCUGAACAUUUUAAAAGUACACGUUCAUUUUUGUGUUUUCACAAACCAUAGAAAACCAAGAAACUGAAGUAAAAUGAAUAAACGAAAAAAAACAGUACCGGACAGCUCCGUCGCUGCAAAAAUAGGUCUGCACGUCUUAGUGGGCCUACCCAUUCAGAGUCACCUAUGCGUAUCCUCAACUUUUUCGACAACGGGUGCCUUUUAUUUACUUAUAAUGUUGCAUCGAGGGAUACAAUCAUAACAAGCACACACCCAAACUAUGUAUAACUAGCAUACACACUGCGAACACACAUAAAAAAUCACACUGGCAAAUAACAAAGUCAAAUAAGACAAGAACUAUGGCUAGACACAUACAGAAAACGAAGGAAAGAAGAAGAAAUCCCGAGGCGACCAAAAGAGCAUACGUGAGUGAUCAUAUGUGCCAACCAUCUGAACUACUGCGUCAACUAGGAGGUCUCGCUUCUAAGGCCAUCAAUAAUAUUAACGAUGGUUCCAUAUAAAAAAAGAAUAUUAACGGUGGUAGCAGGUGCGAGAUCUUAAAUUAUCAUUUUUUAAGGCCGCUCCAUCGUUUUUGUUCUGCACAAGUGGCUCCCCUAGCCGUAACCCCACCCACUGGUUAUGUAGUUCUUUAAGAGAAAAUCGAUGACACAUGCAAGCAACAAUUUUGUAUCUUCUGUCAUUUGUUUAUACUAUGCCAUCACGAGGAGAUUGCACUUAAAAAGACAAAUUGCAUAUAGGAUAGUUAAAAAAGGGUUGUUUUCUGUCGUGGAAAGGUUGAUUCUAGUAUGAGUAUUCUCUUGGUAUCCGUUCCUUCAUGGAGAAGAGAAGGUGAUUUUCUCUCGCCGCCCCGUCAAUUGAAAUUAUACAUGUUCAAUGAUGACAUGAAGGUUAAUUUCACACCACUCAUUCAUUGUGCUUGCCUUGAGUUCCCUUCAAGGAUAUACCGUGGCAUUCCCGCCUCAAAGAGCUUUUUCAAACCCCUUUCUCAAGAUGCACAACUCAGUCAUUGUUAUCUUGUGUAGACGGGUUCAUCCAACAGGGUAUAAGAUAACACGAUGGACUGAACUGAAGAGAAAAGAAAAAAAAAAUCAUCUACUAAGCCUUAAGCAUUAAACAAGCUUGGAGUGUUGGUCAGCGUGCGACAUCAUUCAAGAAUUUUGUGGACCUACGCUGACCCAAUGAACUUGUGCCCUAUCCCUUGAAGAAAUAUCUCAUCAAUUAUGAAUAAAAAUGUUUGAAGCAUAGAAGUACUCAUGUUUUGACAACAAUACGACCCAUUGUCAUAAACUCAUAAUAUCCCCAAUUUUUACUCAUGAAAAUCAUGUUUGCAUCCCUUUUUGACUCGUUACAUUGCAAUUGUGUCCCAAUUAGAUAACAAUAACACUAAUGAUUGAGCUUGCCAUUGGUAUUCAGUUAUGUGUACACACACAUCACCUUAUGGGUAUUUCACACGAGAAGAAAAUUAGAGGCGAUUUAUUUGCAACUAACAGGCGCUUGCCGCCUCCCAUUGGCUCGCUGCUUGCCAACAAGCAUUCGAUUCCAUUCAACUGAAUUUAAGAAAAAUGGUCAGCAUGUUGGCGCUGUACUGUGUUGGGUUCGUUGAUUGCAUCCAUAUAUAUAAGCAGUCCAUUCCAUUCAACUCAAUUCAUCAACUGCAUCCAUAAUAAAUAUCAAAAAUUCCCCAUGGCACACAACGUGAUUUGCUUGCUUCUUGAUCGGAUUAUCAAACACCGGAGGGGUGUCUUCCUGUGUGAGGGUGGCCGAAACAAACUCGGCAAUUGCAGACGCUCUGAACUCGCCAUCUGCAAUACACACAGUACAUUGUUAGCCAAUUUAACAGUCAAACCAACUCGGUACAUAGAAAUGGAAAGGAGAAGCUAAAACAAGUUUACCAUAUACUGUUAACUUCGCCUCUUUUUUCUUGAGCAGGACUAGUGAUGGGCGCUUUGCUUGCGGGUCAACAUGGAAAAGCUUGGCUAUAUCAGGACUGGUAGUCUGGUAGAUGUUGACAGCCCGGUACAAGCUGUUGAAAUCUUCCAGCCUUGAGGCAGCAGCAAGCUCUUCGGUGUGAGCACCCUAUAGCAUUUGUUGAUAAGAGUAAUCAAUUUUGGGCCACAUGUGCGGUGCAAUUGCAGCAAUUCGGUUGGAUGGUAGACUUUGCUGGGAUUGGAACGUACCGAAAGGGAGUCGAGGAAAGCUAGCACGGCUACUUUGCCGCCGGUGAUGAUCUUCUCGGCCUCGUCGAUGGUGGUGACGUUCUGCACCUCAGGGCCCAGCCUCUGGGAUAUCCAAGUGACCAUGGCGUCCCUGCAGCAGUGGAAAAUUCGCCACCAUGAGGGAUGAAAUAUAAGACCGUUUAGAUCACCAAAGUAAUCUAAACCACGAACAAAAAAUAAGAACAAAAAAUUUGAAUGGAACAUUUCCUGAAAUUCACAAACAUUUCUUAAAAACAUGAAUCUUUCUAAACCACGAACAUUUUUUAAGUUGUCAACAAGAACAUGUUUUGAAGAUUCAGAAGAGUUGUAGUAAUUUUUUUCUUUAAUGCAAACAUUAUUUUCAAUUUUUGAACAUAUUGUGAAAACAACAAUAUUUUUAGAAUUUGGAAUAUUUUCAAAAUGCAUUUUUCUAAAUAUUGUUUUUUAAAUACAGUUAUUUUUUAACAAAUGGCAAUAUUUUUUAAAUUUUGAAAUACAUUUGGCAGAACUAAAAAAAUUCCAAACAUUUUUAGAAUAGGAACACAUUUAUGUAAUUCGUAUAUUUUUAUGAAUUCUUGAAUAAAAAUGAAAUUGCGAUAUUUUCCGAAAAUUUUGAAUUUCAGAAAAUACGUAGAAAAUAGACUUAGAAUGUGAAAAGUAAAAAAUAAAUACGAAACAAAAAGAGAACUAAGCAGAAAAAUAAAAAUGGAAACCGAACACAAGCAUAAAUCGGCCGCUGAGUUUUGGGCGCCUUGUGCGUACCUGAAACUAUUUACCGCCUUGUGCGGGAAAUAGGAUUUUUUGUUGCUACAUGGGCAGGAAAAAAUGGGCUGAAUUUACGGGGCCAUAGUGCGCGCGGCCCAUGUACGAAAUUUUGCACAAAUUGUUUUUCCUUUGCUAAUAGACGAACAUAGAAAGUUUAGUACCACCUCGGAAAGAAAAACAAUAAUUUUUUGGCGGUGAACGGAUAAAAAAAUCGGAGAAACGCACCUUGCUUUAUUAGUAGGUAUAUAUAGAUAUUGAUAUAGAUAUAGAUUGCUCAAGGUGAAAAGCUAAGGCUAUCCUCUUAAGAAAAAAAACGAAGUUAUCUUCCUCGAAAGAAAAACAAAACUAUGUUAUAUAUCCUCCUCUCAAUCAACAAAAUCACCUCUCCUCGAGCAAGCCAACUCUGACUGCACCAUGGGUAAACGUCAAGAUCCCUCCGAACGAUACACGAGAACCGUCUCGGCCACUGCCAAACAAUUGGCCACAAGCUUCGACAACAUAGCAGCUUGGAUUUUGCCGAUGAACUUUGCUGGGGAAAAUUGUAAGCCUCGCACCGAUCUAGUCCAGCGCAAUCUCUGGAGAGCAGCGUCCACUGAAACCAUCUUCAUGGAGUCAUCGUUUCCGCAGGCGCCCCUCCACACACAGCUUCAUCUUCUUUGUUACAACAAGAAACAAGCAUAGGCACACCCAUUGGCACACCCGACUGUCAAAUUCAGAAGGGCCAACCACGACCUAGCUCCGCUCGCCACCAUUGUCGUCGCCACGAGUGCCAACACCAACUACUCGCAUCAUCAGCUGUGCACCAUCCAACCGUGAGAAUGUGCAUAUCCAACCCAGGAAAAGUGUGGAGGGGAACAAAUCUUCAAGACGGCGCCCUAAGUGGGGAGCGAUGCAGAAAUAACAAUGUUGUCCGACCCUGCAACAGGGACCUUAGGCUUUUACUGAAGACAUCCCAAGGGUGACCAAGAUGGAAGAGCUGCACGGCGACCCUCCAAGAAGGAAUAACGACACUAGCAACCGCCACAUCAUCAUUGAUGGCAUAAUCCAGGCAAGCCUUUGCCCCGGAGGAACAAACGUGCACAUACACCCCCACUAGACAAAAUACUGCCUUACCUAUAGACAAAUCAGUUCUUUUUUGGGCGAGAUAAGCCCAAAGUAAUCUGUGCAAAUAUUCUCUGUAAAUUCAAAAUCUAUGUGUAUUAUAUGUAGUUAAUCAACAUUUUACCGCCCAAAUUAGAAUCCUAGCCACUUUAUACCUCGAACUUUCAUUAAAUGUGUCUAGACUUACGUAUUGAGUGCACCAUGCAUGCUGCCAAGCCAACCCGCGUUGAAUCGCGCCAUAAAUUUCCUUAAGUUUAAAUUUCCGCUAGGAUUUACCUUGUAAAUAAGUUUCCACCGUUCUUACUAGCACAAAUUUAAAGCUUUGGGGUAAAUCCUUUCUGCAUAAUCCCUGUAAAAAAUGAUAAAAGUAAAGGUACAAAGUAGAAAUUUUAAUAUAUAUCAUCACACAAUCAUAGUACAACCAGCACACACAUACAAUUAUCAUCCAUACAAGCCAGAAAAGUAAGUCAGAACAAUCACAAGAUUUACAUGGGCAUCAUACCCUAAUCUUGAUUGAUCUUGACAUUAUAUAGCACAGAAUGACUUGAUGGUGGUGGGUUACAACACACCACUUAUUUAAUCCAGCAGGCAAUAUAAGUCACGAGUAUACUAUAUCUGGCGCGGUUGAUGUACUCGAACAUCUCAUCCCAGCGGCUCCUCUUGGAUGUGUGCUUCCACAUUUUCCUUUUCCGCUUGUGUCCCAAGUGGUGGUUUUGGUUGUGCAUUCGGGUCCGGCAGUCCAGGCAGUGGUUGUGGGUUUGGGUCUGGUAAUGGUUGUGGGUUUGGAUCAGGCUGCGGUCCUGGUAAUGGCUGAGGGUUUGGGUUUGGUUGUGGGUCCGGCAAUGGUUUUGGGUUUGGGUCUGGUAAUGGUUGUGGGUUUGGAUCAGGCUGAGGUCCUGGUAAUGGUUGAGGGUUUGGGUUUGGCUGUGGGUUNNNNNNNNNNNNNNNNNNNNNNNNNNNNNNNNNNNNNNNNNNNNNNNNNNNNNNNNNNNNNNNNNNNNNNNNNNNNNNNNNNNNNNNNNNNNNNNNNNNNNNNNNNNNNNNNNNNNNNNNNNNNNNNNNNNNNNNNNNNNNNNNNNNNNNNNNNNNNNNNNNNNNNNNNNNNNNNNNNNNNNNNNNNNNNNNNNNNNNNNNNNNNNNNNNNNNNNNNNNNNNNNNNNNNNNNNNNNNNNNNNNNNNNNNNNNNNNNNNNNNNNNNNNNNNNNNNNNNNNNNNNNNNNNNNNNNNNNNNNNNNNNNNNNNNNNNNNNNNNNNNNNNNNNNNNNNNNNNNNNNNNNNNNNNNNNNNNNNNNNNGGCAAUGGUUUCGGGUUUGGGUCUGGAAAUGGUUGUGGGUUUGGAUCAGGCUGCGGUCCUGGUAAUGGCUGAGGGUUUGGGUUUGGUUGUGGGUCCGGCAAUGGUUUUGUGUUUGGGUCUGGUAAUGGUUGUGGAUUUGGAUCAGGCUGCGGUCCUGGUAAUGGACGAGGGUUUGGGUUUGGCCGUGGGUCUGGUAGUAGCUGCGGGUUUGGGUUUGGCCAUGGGUUCAUCAACCGUUGCAGGUUUUGGCCUGGCAAUGGUUGUGGAUUUGGGUCAGGGUGUGGUCCUGGUAAUGGUUGAGCAUUUGGAUCAGGUUGUGGCUCAGGCAGUGGUUGUGGGUUUGGAUUAGGUUUAGGAUCGGGUAGUGGUUGCGGGUUUGGGUCUGGUCGUGGUCCUGGCAGUGGUUGUGG